GGAGCCAGUUCUGGCCACCUCGACGUUGCCAGAACAGUUCCUCGGAGCUGAAGAUGCCCAUGAGCUCAGCGUCGAGGGAUUAUGUCUGGAUCCAGUCAUCCGGGGACAGACCUGUACCGUCCGCCAAGUCAUCUAGGGUCUUAAUCUGGCCUAGCAAGGCCCCUUUACGGGCCCGGAGAUCAGCGCCCAAGUUAGCACCCCAGCCCUUCAUGGCCUGGCGCGCCAUCUUGGCACAGUGAUGCCAAAUGUCCACCGCACAAUAGACACGCGGCGGGGAGGCGGCAGCCCAAUGCCACUGGUCGCGGACCAACUCGCGGAAACCAGGCUGAUCCAACCAAAAAGUCUCAAAGCGAAAGCGCCGUGAUCUAGGGGGGAGCCUUCCCCCGACGAGAAGAGCAGGGGCGUAUGGUCUGAGCCAAUCUGCGUGAUGGCCCUAAGCCCGCACAGGAGGAACAUCACUUCCCACUGAGGCGACACAAAGACCCGGUCUAGAACACUCCGGACGGGGUCCGCCUGCUUGUUCCACCACGUGAACCUGGCCCCUACGCGAGCUAUCUCACGUAGCGCCAAGUCUGCAAUGCAGUCAUUAAAAAGACGCAUCUGGGGUCGAUCUACAUUCUGAGAGCUUUUAUCAGAAGCCCACCUAAUAAAUUAAAAAUCACCAGCCACCACUACAGGGGUGGUGCACCUAUCCACCUUAUUCUUUAGCUCGGCGAGGAAUUCUGCGGAGCGGGCAUGGUCUGCCGGACCAUAGACAAUAAUCACCUCCCAGCUGAGGUGGGUACGUCGGUCGGUGAUGGCCAUGCUCACAAUGAACUCCCCCCGGUCCAUGUCCUCCACCGAGAACGCCUCCUCCCGAACACCAAGCAGGAUUCCCCCAGAGUGGCCCGAUGCAGGGAGCCACUGCCAGGAGAACUGGUGGCGGGAGAGCCUCUGAAGCUCGAGCAUGCUAAAGUCCUACCGAAUCGUUUCUUGCAGCCCUACUAUGUCAAUCUCUUCUUGACGCAAAUACUCAACAAGUUGCCGCCGCCGGCCAGGGAGGCCGAAGCCCCUAAUGUUCCAACAUAGGAGCUUCAUUUAACAAUCUCGCCUGGAUUUCUAGGCCCCGCAAGCGGGGCCGAACUAGCCCGCCCGUCAACCUCGAGGCGGGGGAGCGCCUUAGAUGGACGACCCCGGUGUCCCCGAGAAGAGGGGACAUCGGAGGUCGCCGGGCCAGAGGAGGGAGCUCCGGGGCCUGACACUCGCUCCUCUCCACGUGUCUCAGUGGGGUUGAGACGGGUAGGCGGCCGCCCCCUGGGCUUCCGGACAGAGGGAAGCCCACCUAUGGGCGGCACAGGACCAACUGCAACCGCUGCCGGAGGUGCGCCACCAGCCCUGGUCUCUCUAUGACCAGGACCGGCGUGCACCGGGGGAGAGGGGGAGUUGGAGCGCGCGGCGAGACAGCGCGCUUCCGCUAACACCCCCUCAAGCCUCUCUUUCGCACAGAGGGCGGAGAUAUGCUCAAGAGGGGGACCUUUCUCCCCCCGAAACACAAUACUACUGUUCGCAGCCACAACAGCCAAAAGGGGCACCAAAUCGCUAGAGAGAACAGAAAACCAAGAACCAGAGCCAGAAGGGGGAGGAGAGGAGGCGUACCUGGGAACAGAUCGCGGGCCGCAGCACGCCGGGCCGCCAGCUCAGGCAUCGUCGGGACGCGGCCGUCCUGAAGGGUCCGGGACUGGCUGAUCCGAGCGCUCUGACGUGCCGACACGAUGGGGGAAGUGCCCUCCCGAGGCCGAGAGCGGGGCACAGGAGGGUACUCGGGCGCCCAACCAGGGUUGACGACCACCGGAGGGCGCGAAUCCGGGGACCCCAAGGUUGGGGAAGGGGGGAACUCGGAGAGCACGAGUAGCAAACCACCCCUGGCGAGCGCGGGGACGAAGCAGGGCAGACCUCCAUACCCACACUCACCUCCUCCUCAGCAGCGACCACCGGGAUAGGGGAAGCAGGGAGAGUGAUCUCCAUGCCUACCACCACCACCGGCGCCAAAGUACCCACCGUGGAGCCUCCUGCGAGCCCCGACUGGCCAACACCCGAGGGGGCGGGGGUGCGCCGACCGCCAGAUGGCUCGGGCGGAGCCCCGACCGUAUCAUCGUCCCCCUCAGAAGAAGGCCCCUCCUCCGACGAGCCCCCCUCCUUGUCAAGACCCCCGUCGGCAGGCUCCAGCCCAGGCGGGACCGGAUCUAGCUGAGCCGCUGAAGCCGGGGACUCGAGCUCGAAGGUCAGACGCCUGCCCUUGGACCCAAAGUAGAAGACCAAAGACAACCCGUCAAUCUCAGCAGGAGCCGGGCAGAGAAUCUCAAUGCGGGCAGGGCCAUCAUCCUCGAAAGAUGCCAGGUCGGCGGUGAUCAGUUUGCCCAUGGGUUUAGAGAUGGCUUUCAGAAUAUGACUGAGCUUGCCACCCCGCGGAGCCGCACUGCCCCCCCUUGGGAGGCCAUAGACGAGGACCCAAACCUUCUCCAAGGGAGGGACGGGGUCAGGCUCUGACAUGGCCGCCUGGACGCUGAUCGGGAGCUGGUUGAGGGGACACCGGAUAGGACCAUGCGAGCAGACCCGGAGUAGCUCGGCCGAGGGGAAGGGGACCGAGAAGACCAGGGGAGCCGUCUCAGUCACCUCCCAUGCGAACUCAGAGCCGCGAAAGUCGCCAAUGUAGGCCGCAAGCUCAUCCUGGAUGAGGUCAGACGAGAUCACCAGGCCAUCCGGGAUAGGCUGCUCGGGCUCCAAGGUGACCGUCGCUAGGUGAGGACGAGCAGCUACCUCCUCAAUCUCCGCAUCCACGAAGUAGAAGCUUCCCCGCUCAGUGCCAUACCCAAGAUAGGCAAGAAUCGUGGGGCACCGUGGGGGAGCCUCACACUCCGAGCGGUAGUGCCCGGUGCACCCGCAGUUGAUGCACAUCGUGUCCUCGCGGGAGCGCUGGCGGGUAGCACGAGCAGGGGGUCUAGAGCCUCAUGCUCAGGAGCCCCCUGAGCUCCUGGCGACGUCAGGCCGCCAGCACCGCCAACAGCCUUCUUCUUCUUCGACUUCAUCUUCUUCUUAACCGGGGUCGGGCGGGAAGCGGAGCAGCAGGCAGGGCAUCUGGGGACACGUGCCUAGAAGGCCCGUCGUCCCGGCACCAGUCCGCACCCGUCGCCCGAGAGGAGCGCCAGUCAGCCCGACGUCCAUCAUCACCGCGCCGCAUUGGCGGCCCGCCCCACCGCUCCCCCGGGCGGUGGUCCUGGCGAUCACGGGGCGGCCCGCCCCACCGCUCCCCAGGAAGGCGCCGCGGGGCGGUGAGCGAGGUCCCGAGCCGGGGGGUAGCGGGGCGCUGGCUCCUCACACGGCUGAGAUGCCGGAGUGGGGCGAGCAACCAACUCUGCACACAGAGUCGCUUCCCGGUCCAGGUCGGCCGCGCGGGCGGCCUCCAGGCGGCGACGGUCCCCCGGCGAACCCGGCAACGGCAGGCGGGGAUCCCUCUCCGGAUCACGAGGGGGAGGCGGACGGCGAAGGGAGGUCCCGGAGUAGUACUCCGGGGACUUCCCCGGCCGGGCAGACCCACCGCGCCCGGAACGGGACGAGGCAGCACCCCCUUCCAUGGCACGGUCACGGGCGGCGGGCAGCGCCUUCAACACCGCGCGAGCCUGGUCACGAGAGGUUGGCGUAGGGAGGAGCCCCUGCCCAGCCGGGAGAGGCCGCUUCGGUCGGGCCUGGCCGUUCCCGGCGUGGCGUGUCAUGAGCACGUCCCGGUAGGAGCGCCGUGGGGAGGGGAUGGGGAGCAGGUCCGGGCGCCGGGCAGCAGACGAGGGCGCGUCGCCGGCAGUGCAGGCGAGGACGGACGAGGUGGAGGGAGCUCUAUGGCUGACGGGACGGGGCGAGCGGGGCCUGGGGAACGGCCGGCGGGACGGGGCGAGCAGGGCCUGGGGAACGGCGGGGACGUCCGCGCCCGACGGGAGAGAGCGAGAGGAAAGGGAGCGGGAGCCCGACCGGAGAGAGCGAGAGAAACGGGAGCGGGACGGGGCGAGGCUGCGAGGUGGCGGUGGCGCACGCUCGGCAGGGUAAACCCUAUCCCCGAGCCGGUCCUCCCGACGCAGGCCUGGGCCGGGACGCGAGCAUGGGGGAGGCCCAGGUGGGCAUCGGCCCACUGCCGGUUAACCUUCUCCAGGACUCGGGAGACGCGGCGGGAGGCCCAGGCCAUCUCGCUAGCUGAGAUGGGCCCAGGCCCCGUUCGCAGCGGCCCAUGGGGAGAGCCGGCCCAUCCGUCCGCCAGCCGGCCAGGGGAGUUAGGGCAUGGGGGAGGGGACUGACGAGGCACUCGGGCACCUCCCGCUGCCGCCGGCACCGCCGCCGCCGCCACAGGAGGCAGGGCACCAGCGCCUGGUCGGGGCUCGCGGGGGCCCUCUCCGGCGACCGCCAUGGGGGACAACCCAGGCAGCAAACCGGCUCGGGCCAAGGAGGGGAGAGGGGGAACCACAGGGGGACAGUGCACCGGCGACCGCCGCCCGACCUCCUUCCCCGGCCGCCGGCGGGCAGGGCGCGCCGCAGCCAGGAACGAGCCGAGCAGCGGCGGUGCCAGGGACACCGGCAGCUCCAACCGGUCAUCACCAUCCGAAGAGGCCUCCAUGUCAUCGGGGUCGGGAUCGUCCGUCCAGUCCGCCCAACGUCGCGGCGACCGUUGGAAGCAGAGGGAGGGCGCCCCCGGCGGGGGAAGCGGGGGCAUCGCGCUCACGCAGCACGCCGGCCGACCGCCGUCAGCGGGCACCGCGCAGCUUCAGGUCUCGGCCCGCCGGAGAGGAGCCGCCCAUCGCUUCUUCUCUUCAGGAAUCUAGUCGCCGGCCCACAAGUGGGGUGAUGAACAAGCUAAUGCGAUUUAAAGUAAUCAUACCUCGUCCUAAGAAAUUAAAAGUGAAUUCAUACUGUGCAGCUAGAAAAAGAAUCAUAAAAGUAUACAAGCGCAUGUGAAAAGAAAAAGAUGAACAACUUGCCACUUCAUAUAGGUGAUCUAAUUAACUAAUUUAGGGUUCGAAUAACUUUGUUUCCCCACAAUCAUGACAAAGUGAACCUUUUGUUGAAAGCCGGAAUUCUGCAAUAAAGCUGCAAUGGUAGAUCUAUUUUUAUCAGGGAAUCUACCAUGCUGAGCUGCUGCACACAAGGCGUUCUCACUCACGAGUCGCAAAAAAGAGUUGGUGAGUUAUUAAAAAAGAAGACAAAGAGGACGAGUGAGUUGCACCAAAAUUAAAUACUUCCUUCAUUUCAAAAUAAAUGUCUCAAUUUUAUACUACCUCUAGUAUAAGAGCAUGGUUAAUAGUAUAGUCAACUGCUGGCUAUAAGCUAUCUUAUAGCCUAUCUUAUAGCUAGCUUGUACAAUAGUUAGCUAUAAAAGAGUACUACUUUUAUUCUAUAUGGCCCACCUUUCAUUUUCACAAAGCACCUACGAGCACGUGCUAGAGCUGGCUCUUUACGAAGAGCCCGCUUCCCUUCUCACUCCUAUUCUCUCUCAUCCAACUCAGCAAAAAUACAGUAUUUUAAUCCUUACAGCCUGCUGACUGUACCUUAUUGUACUUGCUCUAAAGUUGUACUCCCUCCGUUCCAAAAUAUAAGACCUUUUAGAGAUUUAUUAGAAGACUACAUACGAAGCAAAAUGAGUGAAUCUAUACUCUAAAAUAUGUCUAUGUACAUCCGUAUGUAGUUCAUAGUGCAAUCUUUAAAAUGUCUUAUAUUUAGGAACGGAGGGAGUAUUAAGUUUGAGGCGGUUAUAUUGAGACGGAGAGAGUACUAGAUAUACGUAAUCUGAAAUAGUGGAGUACCAAAAUUAUAGGCCUCUAUGAUUAGGAGGAUUUUCAUAAAACAUUUGGAAAGUUGUGAUACUUGAGAAUUUUUCCUUUAUCGCUUAUCUGAUUCGUAGAUUGACUCCUAUAGGAUUUUCUCCUAUGGAUUCCCUUUGACUGCACAUUUCAUGAAAAAAAACAUUAGUUUGCCAUGAUAAUUUUUCACCAGGAUGCACAAAAAAUGAACUAGUUCUGAAAGGUUUAUUGGCUUCAUUUGGAUUUACUUAGAAUCAGCUCAUAUUAGCAAUAAUUAAAGAUGGCCGAACGAUGGCGCCGUCUCCCUCCCGACCCGGGGCCGCAUGCAGCCCCUCUCCCUCUGCCCCCCUCCUCCUGUCGGUGCCCUCGGAUCUGGUCCGGGUGGUGUUGGCGGUGGCGGGAUCUCCAUUACCUGUGCGCGGACGUCCUUCCCGAGGCAGGGGAUCGACGGUGGUGCGGCUCGGCCUGCUGUGGUCCGACGACCUAGAGGUGGUGGCCGGCAGCCGACGUGGUGGUGGCGCUGCUCCUUGGCGGCGGGGUGGCCUAGCGGCACGGGGUGGCCGGCUGCACGACCCCGGGCCAGAUCAGGGCCCAUAAGGCCUCAUCUAGGUCCUAGGGGACUGGCUCUGGCAUGGACUUGCUGCCUCCUGUACAGGGAUGAGGAGGGGCGGGUUGAAAGGGGGGCCGCGAUGCCGACGGUGUGCUUUCUGCAGCGCGAUGGCAGGAGCUUUAUGGGUAUUUGUGGGGCCAUGAGCCUGGUUUGCUCCUGCCGAUGUGUCCGGUCGGUUACUGUCGUUGACGAUGGAAGUCGGACCCUCCCGCAGGCCGCCGGUGUUGCUUCCCCUAGUCCCGACUCUUCUUCUUCGAUGUGCAGGCCUCACUUCUCGGUGUCCUGGUGAGACAGUGUGGGUCGCUUCAAGAUUGUGCUUGCGCAGGGCGGUGGGUGGUAUGGUGGAGUCCUCCGGAACGCCCGUGGUGAUGCGUGGGGAUCGGGACGUACAAAUCCUUGUCGGCCUGUUCGACACCGACACGGUGACGCCUGAGGGUGUCGACGGACCUUCCUGGAGGGUGUCGGGUGCUACCCUUUCUUUGUCCUCGUUGUGUAUCGGGGGAAACCCUUGGCAGCAGCGCAGUCAUCGUCGUGUCCCUUCUUGGAGGUGUUGAUUGGUAUCGGCGCUUCGAAGGCUAGGAUCUUGGUGGAAGAUCUUCGAUGGGCGCAACGAUCGCGGGGCCUCUUCAUUUUUGUCGAUCCAUCAUUGUUGGCAUCUAUUCCUUUUGCAUUUUCUUUUUCCCUUCCUUUUGGACGUGAUUGUGAUGUCUCCGUCCCAGCACUUAUUGAUGGAUAUAUCGGGCAUUUGCUAUAUUAAUAUAGCGAGGCGAACGCGUGCUUCGAAGAAAGAUGGACGAACUUACCAACCAUAUUACUUGUGCUUAUUUAUUUUCUUCUGUUACAACGCACAAACAUAUUUGCUAUUUGAACUAAAUCACAUUGCCAAUUGCUCGUCUAUCAUGUCAAAUCAGAACCACGCAUCUAACCCUCCCAAGAUGUAGAUCGAUCGGUUUUACUCGGCAUUCAUUAUGGAUCGGAGGGAGUACUCCUAGAUCAUAUUCAAAAUUGCUCCACGCCACAAAUAAAACUGCACGGUACAUAUGGUAAAUCUGGGAAAGUGAUUUGCGUGGUAUGUGUGCCAUAAUCAACUGAAUUAUUGGACUAACCGCAUCAAGAUCGGAUCACAUCGAUCCUAUCCCCGUCGACGAGACUGUCCUCGAAUCAAAAUAUUUCUCCAAUGGACGCUCGUGUCCCACGCUCUGAAAGCGACGCCUUUUGUUUUGUCAGUUAAUUUUCACGUCAAGCUCACACCCACGCACGCACCGUGUAGGAUCCACGGCUCGACGCACCUCCCCUUCCCUCCCCUUCUCCCUAUUUAACGAGCUAGCCACCCCCACGCUUUUUGCACCUCAGCAAGCACCAACACACACACACACACAAGAAAUGGCGAUGGCUAGGACGACGACGCUCCUCCUCGUCGCCGCAGCUCUCCUCGCGGCCUCAUGCAGCGCAUGGGAGGUCAACAUCCGCAUGCCGACGUCGGCGGCGGACGUGGACGAGGCGGUGGUGGCGCCGCUGAUCCACGCGCUGCGGCCGCUGCUGGGCUCCGGCAAGCACGCCGGAGUGGCGUGCGACAGCUGGGUGCUGGGGGUGGAGGCGCACAACGUGCGGGACUGGAAGACGGUGCCCGCGAGCUGCGAGGGCUACGUCGGGCACUACAUGCUCGGCAGCCAUUUCCGCCGCGACUCCAAGGUCGUCAUCGACCAGGCCCUCGCCUACGUCGACUCCCUCAAGCUCGCCGGCAACGGCAAGGAGGUCUGGGUCUUCGACAUCGACGAGACCACCCUCUCCAACCUCCCCUACUACGCCAAGCACGGCUUCGGGUACGUACUUACACUCUUGUAUACAUUACAUAGACACUACUGAUUCUACGUGUAGUGCAUGCAUUAGACUUGCUAUUUACUGCAGGUACAUCCGACCGAGCAGGGACUUGCACUCAUCUUUUCACUAAGAUGAAGUGUAAAUAAUCUGACUAGAUAUAUAUUGUAAAAAAUCAACUCACUAGCUAGCUAAAAAAUACCAGCGAGAUCUGUAAUGAAUGAAAAUUGGAAAGCACAUAAGGAUAGAAAUAUUGGAAAUAAAAAGGAAUAUAAUCACUAAGUAGAAAAGUACUUUAAUCACAAGUGUUGGACACUUGGACAUCAUCAUUGCCAGUAGGACUCGGGCCAUAUGUCCCUAGUAUGAAUGGCCAACAAAACAAGAAGGAAACAUACUAUAUUUUGAGAUAGAGAUGUGAUGUUGAUGGGCAUGCGAAUGUGGUGGCCGGGUAGGACCGUAUAUGUUGUCCACUUGGCUACUUUAUGGAAAUGUUCUAAUUAUGUUAUGCUAGUCAACUCAUACUUUCUAAUUAUGUCAUACUUUUGUACACAUACACACUAUUGUAGUGCAUUAUACUCCCUCUCUAUCUAAAUACUUAGAGUUCGAAAGAACUAGGUGCAUUUCAGCAGGGGCUUGCACUGAUCUAUUCGUUCAGAUAAAAUAAAUAUCUUACUAGACCUCGUUCAAAUGAACUCACUAGCUAGAAAGCACUAGUAUCAUAAGAUUUCUAAUGAAUGAAAGUGGGAAAACAAAUGAGACUAGAAGUGGAAACAAGGAAUAUACUCACUAGCUAGAAAAGUAUUAAUUGGACGUGUUGGACACACUUAGGCAGCAUCAUUGCUGGUUACCUCAAAUCAGUCACAGAGACGGCCAUCAGGACCAUAAAUAUGUCCCGCCUAUGAAUGGUCAACAAAACAAGAAGGAAACAUAGUACUAUAGUUUGAGAAUAUGGUGGCCGGGGUAGGACCGUAUAUGUUCUCCACUUGGCUACUUUAUGGAAACGUUUAUUUCCAGCUGUCCUUAUCAGCCGAUACGUUCUAAUUAUGUUAUGCUAAUCGAUUGAUAUUUUCUGAUUAUGUUAUGCUAAACUUAGUUCAGAUGGAUAGUACUCCGAUACGUUUUCAUUAUUUUAUGCUAAUCUGAGUUUAGAUGGAUAUAAUUACUUAUUUUAGAAGAUGUGAGAGGUCAGAACAUCUUGUGCAUAGUUAGUAGUUACAUGCUACUCCCUCCGUUCCUAAAUACAAAUCUUUUAAAAGAUUUCACUAGUGGUCUACAUAUGAAGCAAAAUGAAUGAAUUUAUACUAUAAAAUAUGUUUAUAUACAUUCAUAUGUAUUACUCUAACCUCUAAAAAGAUUUAUAUUUAAGAAUGGAUGGAGUACAACUCUAUUCCUCUUUUCUCAAAUAGUUGAACACUAUUCCUCUUAGUUAAGAAGAUUCUCUUGAACCAAGAUGGAAACUAACUUGAAAUGUAGUAGAAGUCUAGGUGAUAUCUAGCCAACAUGAUGAUACCAGUUUAGUUCAAAACAUGAUUAACUAGCUCCGGAUAGCUUGCUUGUGUAUAUUUUGAAUGUGAUGAGGGAGCUAGUUCGUUGUGAUUUAAAAUAAACUGUACCUUGCCGUAAGAACUUUAAAGUGGAUCUACACUGGGCGGCUGGAAAAAGAUACAUAAAAGUAUAUAUAUGCGCAUCAAGGAAAAAAGAAAGAUCAAAAGCUUAUAACAGCAUGUCUAACUAAUCGAGCGGUUCAAAUAACUUUGUUUCAUCACAAUCAUGACAAAAUUAACCUUUUUUGUUGAAAGUCGGAACUCUGCAAUAAGGUUGCAAUGGUAGACCUAUUUUACCAAAGGAAUCAACAAAGCUGAGCUGCUGCGUACAAAGCUGUGCACGAUGAGAUUAAAUACUACAACUGCGUUUUCGGUCCAACAAAACAGUAGCGUGAUGAUGCCGGAGUGAACCUCGCUAUGUCACAUUCAUUGAUUUACUCCACUUGACCAACUUAAUUUACGACGUCCACAACUACGUACUGCUCAUGCACGUGCGUUACGUACAGAUACAGAGCAUCAUUGCGUUUACGUAUUGCCCAUCCCCUUGGCCAUUUGGCCACUUGGGCCAUAAUCUAGGUUGCCUAUGUUCCUUGGAUAUGCAUAAUUACUACUACUUCUUAGUAGCUGAUAUGAUUGAAUCUGCCAUUAAUCUAUCCUCGUAUACAUGUGCGUGCAGGGCUACACCGUUCAACGCGACCAGCUUCAACGCAUACGUGCUACAGGGGAGCGCGCCAGCCCUGCCGGAGACGAAGCGGCUGUACAACAAGCUGCGCUCGAUCGGCGUCAAGCCGGUGUUCCUCACCGGCCGGACUGAGGACCAGAGGGCCAUCACCGUCACCAACCUCCGCCGCCAGGGGAUCUCUGGGUGGAUGAACCUCUUGCUGAAGCAACCCGGGUUCAAGGGCUCUGCGGUGACCUACAAGUCCGGCGAGAGGCAGAAGCUGCAGGACGCCGGGUAUGUCAUCGUCGGUAACAUCGGCGACCAGUGGAGCGACAUCCUCGGCGCGCCAGAGGGUGCCCGCACCUUCAAGCUGCCCGACCCCAUGUACUACAUCGGCUAGGCCGCCUCUGGCUCGGCCGGGCAUGCUGCCAUUGAUUUCUCGAAUAAGCUCCAUGCUCUUAGUUAUAUGCAUGUUUCGUCAGAUAAUCAAUCCCCAAUUGUUGCUUGGUUCAUUUCCAUUGUUGAGAGCUUGAGAUCAAUUGCUACUAUGAAUUAGACGUGUAAGUGGAGAUGUUGCAUGCUGCUUAAUCAAUGGAUCUUUGUUAUGUUGUUUUUCUUUUUGCUCUAUUACAAGGAAUCCAUGGGCAUUAUUACUAUUUGAUAUCUUGUUCUUAAGUCUUAACUUGGAACUUAUAUUGCUGGUGGUAGAUUUUUCUGUACUAAAUUCUGCAUAUGGUGUAUUAAAUAUCAGGGACACAUAAUAUUGUCACACAUAUGGAAUCACUACUGCUAAAAUGACCAGUUCCUGAACCCAUCUGCUAUUGGGCCCAUUUUGGCCCGUCGGAGGAAGGGAUCAUCGUCGGUGGACAGGCAAAGAAGUGCUCGCAUAGACUCCUUCAAAAAAUGUGCCCUCAUAGACGACGGGUAUUUUCCACUGAUGUUGCGCAACUGGUGAUUGCAAUGUAGUUUGUGUCUUGCAUGUUGUAUGCAUAUGUAAUGAAUGUAACAUCUAAUAGUUAAUUAUGCAAGACAAAUAAAGCCCACCCUUUUCAGUAAGUUUAGAGCUAGAUUUGAGUUUGUCUUGGUCUCAUUUUUCUAAACAUACAAUCCUGGAGACAACUCGGUGAAGAAAUGAUGGUCCAAAUAGGUGUCUAACACGAAUCGUCAUCAAAGAAACCCUAUGGGAACCCACACUAUUCUAGUUACUUGGAUGAUUUGUAAUGAAAGAAAUAUAUGUGUCUUCCAAGUUAUUUUGACCAUGCCAAACAACAUCCCUGCUAAGAUAAAAAACGAUGUGGAGACUUGGAUAAAGGCCGGGCGAAGGAUCUGGGAAACAUUAUGCCAGGAGAGUAGUUCCGUUCUAUUAAUUUAUCCUUGGAUGACGUUUCGCGGAGAGAGGGGAGAGGGCGACCUGGGCGAUCUGGGAGCGUCGGGGGCCGCCGUGGGCAUCGUCGGAGAGGGGGAACAUCGGUACUCCUCCUCCGAUCUCGCAUCCCAGGCGCGGCGCCGGAGCCCGAUCUCGGCGGUGGAGGGACCUACUGUCCGUGUCCGAUGGAGAGUUGCGUACUCAGAGGCUGGUUAUUCGGAUCUGCGUGAGGGGCAGAUUGUUUUUCAUUCGGUUUCUCGUUGGAUGACACUACGGGAUGACGACGACGACAUCCUCGCCGGCUGCCAUCUCCAAGAGGAAGAUCUCAUCUGCGAAGGUGCGCAUUUCAUGGUGGAUAUCUUUUCUGUUACUUGUAUUUCUCCUUUCCUGCAGGUGAAUUCACAAGAACGGAUGCAGCCUGAUUUGGUGGACAUAUCUGACGAUGAUAAGAUCGCCUCACCAAGACUUCUCCCUCGAGUUGGGGGGAGGUUUUGGGUACUGGCUAAAGAUGAAGACGACGAGAACCACGACAUUGCCGUAGCACAGGAGGUCUCUGCUCCUUUCUGCGACCAGGUUUUCCAUCCGGCCACGAGGGAUUUUAUUCAUGCAUUGCCUGAUUCGAAGGUCGUUAAGGUAGUUCAACGCAAGGAGCGAUUGGCGAUUAAACCUUGGAGCGGUCCUCUGCCUAAGGUUCAUCUCGAACCAUUGCGGAUCUCGGACAUCAUACCUUGAGAGGCUUGGACUACUGUUUUGCCUAAGAGGAAGAACAAGGGUAAGAGCCGUAAAUUGCAGACGUCAGUCCCUGACAAGGUGCUGUCGUCCCGUGAUUCUCGCGAAUUACGUUUGAACGAGCCGAUGGCUGUUGUCGGGCCGUUGGGACCGGCGCUCGAGUUGGGCUUAAAAGAAACUGGGUAUAUGGCCCAGAUAGACUCCAAUCUAGCAAAACCUGCAAGUCCUACACCUACGGCUGCCCAGAUUUGCCUUGACGAGAAUCAUCAGGACUUGGUUUCUACGUCAAGUUUGCAUAUACCGAGUUCGGCUCUGCCUAGGGUUCCACGACGGCGUUUGCCUGGCUUCCCUUCGCUCGGGCCGGGUCGUGCAGUACGGGUUCCAGCGCUGCGGUGCAUGGCGGGGCGGGGAAACAAGCAGGCGCUGCCUCCCCCUCGACCACCGGCGGUUUCCCAGGCUGUGGGGCGGACUAGGCAGCAGCCCGUGAUGCCGCCAGGGCGCCAGACGGGCCAGGCUUCGGCUGCACCGGUUCCCGCUGCUGGUCAGGGUUUGCCCAACGCGGCUCGGGCGGAUACUAACAGGAUGCAGCCGAGAGGUCGAUGGGGGGAUGAUGGUGUUAAUGCAUAUGGUGAUGGACAGCACCGUGGAUCCUCUUCGUCUGGAGGAGGACGUGGCUAUGCCUGGCAGAGCAAUGGCAGCGCUGCUAAUGGGUUCGCCGGUCCUCCGGGACAGUUUGUGCCCCGGGUCUCGGGUCCUACUCACCCUAGGGAGGUGGAUAUAAGCAACAUUGGGGAGGGAGAGGUGGUGGCAGGAGAUUGAAGCCGCCCACGCCUCCAGUAGAGGUAGAUGCUGCCAAGACAACGGCGGGAGUACCUUCCAAUGCUCCUAAGGGGAAUACACUGCUGCCACCUGUUUCCGAGGAGGAUCCUUCCUUGGCUGACAAGGGAGUAUCGCUUGCGAAGGCAGAGGGGGGGGGAUAGGCCCUCCAAGUGGGCACGCAAAAAAGAAAAGAUGACAUGCUACCGUUGCAGUGAGACGGGUCAUUUUGUUUCCGAAUGCAGCGCGGAUCUGUGUGACUUUUGCUUAAAGCCUAAGCAUGGCUCAGCUAAGUGCCCCCUUACUGUUGGUCCUAUACAUGUCGUCACUUUAUAUGGGGUUUGCUGCCAAGAGUUGAUGUUCUUUGAAUCUCCCUCUGCUUCAACGUCGUUGCAUGUGCCAGACGCGGCCUAUACGGGGACGGUUACGGUGGCUCGUGGUAAUAUGUCAGCUGAGCAGGUGGUGCAACAGUUGAGGGAUCUUGUUUCAUCAAUGUUUCGGUGGGAACUGGUCCUUAUAGCAGAUAAUGUGUUCAAGGUUGUGUUCCCUACCAAGGAGGACCUAGCUAGACUGCUCAAGUUUGGUAUGUGUCGGGUUCCUAGUACUAGUUGUGUGCUAGAGUUCGAUGCUUGGAAGAAUGAGGAGCCAUAAGGUGUGCCACUUCCUCAGAUUUGGGUUCGUUUUUCAGGGGCCCCGUCAAAGGCUCUAAAUGACUUUCUGGUGACUUGGAGUUUGGGAUCUUUGAUAGGUAAGACUGAGAGGGUGGAUAUGCAAUAUACUCGGGCUAAAGGUGUUGCCAGGAUGAGGGUUAGUGUAAUUGAUAUUGCGCUAGUACCGGAUGAAGUUAUAUGGACUUAUGAUGGAAUGCGGUACACCUUGCAACUCGAGAUCGAGAGUCCGGAUAUGUUCGAGGAGGAUGGGACAGACAAAGAUACCGAUAUGGCUGACGGAGAUGAUGCUUCGGGUUCUAGGGAAUCUGAUAAGAAGGAUCAACAGCCAGUUAUUACAAAGAUGGUGGAUCAACCUACCUCAGGUUCUGCUACAGGGGCUGCUCAACCAGUGUCUCUUCCCUCGACGCAGCUUAGGUUCGGUUCCUUUGAACCAGCCUCGGCGCCAGAGAUUCGAGGGAGGGCUUCAGAGAAGUAUGAGCGGGAUCUGGUUCAUCUUAAGCCGCAAGGAAAGCAAGCAAAGUCAGGGUCAUUCAGUAUUAAAAAUCCUAAGGAAGCUUUGACCGUAGUUUCUCUUGGGGAAUAUUUUGUUGUCGCUAGGAAUGCUGAUACGGGCCGGUCUCAGCAACGUGAUGCAGUGCAGCCAGCAAGGCAUAUGUUGUCCGGGUUGGGUACUGUGCCGAGGGGUGCGCCGCCUGGGUCGCCUAGGCAGGGUUCGCUGCUGCUGUAGAGUCCAUCGCCAGCCACCCAGGGGGUUGCUGUUUCUCGGCCAGCCACCCCUGGGGCUGCUACCUUUUUGCCAGCCACACCGAGGGCAAUUACAGCGACUCCUCCUCCUGGCCUACUUCCGUCGUUGGAUGCUGCUGCGAGAUCCACCCCUGCUGCUGGUUUCAUGUCAGCCGAGAGAUCAACCCCUGUUGCUGCGGUUCCUAUCGCUACUAUGGCUGCAACCGGGGCAUCAUCUUUGCGGGUGUCAGGGCUGGAGGGUACUGGUCAGGGGCACCAUGGCGAGGUCGUUGCACCGCCGUCUGUUGAGCAGGUCAUAGCAUACGGAGGUAUUCAAAGUCCGCUGACUUCGGACAGGAGGUCCAGUCGGCGAAUUCAGAAUCAACCUGAUGCGGAUUAUUUACAGAUGGGACGUGCUAUGCGUGCGGCUAAAAUGAGAGAUGUCGAAACUGAGACAGGUAUGUCUUUCAGCAUUAACGAUUCUAUUCUUCAUUUUUCUCCUCAAGAUAUUCUAGAUAAGGCAGGUUCUAUUGGGGUUACAUUGGGGAACAAUGGCCGAGAAAUUUCGAAAUCUAUUAAUGAUCUAUUAGACUUAGAGGUCGAUAGAGCGUUAGACUUAGUACGAAAUUUAGCGGCAGUUAAACCAAUGCAAGAGUCUGAAGUUAACGAUCUAGGGGGACUGAAUUCUCUUUGUGAUAGUCUGGCCCCGUCAGUGGAUAUAGAGGAUGGUGCGGGCGAGGUUUUAGUUGGUCAAGGGAUGUGUGCCCAAUCUCAUAAGGCUGAGCCUCAAUUCUCUGGUUAUAUGGACCAGGAGUUGCUGGAAAAGCCGAAGCGUCCAUGGAGACGGAAAGUGUAUCCGGUCUCUGCGAUACGUAGAAGUGCUAGAUUUAAGAUUGCCAAAAAAAAUUAUGAUGAUUAAUGAGAGGAAUUUUUUGGAAUAGCAGAGGUCUUUGAGACUUGGCUAAAAGAAGAUUUCUAGCAGAGGCUACUUUAGAGCAUCACCUUGAUUUUAUCGCAGUGAUGGAGACAGGGAGGGAUAACUUUACGUCUCAUUUUUUAAGUUCUCUAUCAGCUGGGGUGGAUUUUGACUGGCACUGUCUCCCUCCAAGAGGAAGGUCCGGUGGGAUCUUACUUGGGGUCCGUUGUGACACUUUUCAAGUGCGGGAGGUGGUGUUUGGGGAGUUUGCAGUCAAAUUCAAGAUUAGAUCUAAGGAUGACGGGUUCCAAUGGGCUCUCGUUGCCGUCUAUGGCGUAGCACAGCCAGAUCUAAAGCCUGAUUUCCUAGCAGAUCUGGUCAGGAUUUGUGAUGACAAACUACCAUUGCUGGUAGGUGGAGAUUUUAAUAUUAUUAGGCGGGCUGAUGAAAAAAGUAGUGUUAAUUUUGAUGGAAGAUGGCCUUUCAUGUUUAACACAAUUAUUGAGAGCUUAGAUAUGAGGGAGACCGCUCUAUCAGGUAGGAAAUAUACCUGGGUGAAUGCUCUACAGAAUCAGACAUUUGAAAAGUUGGAUCGUGUCUUAACUAGUGUAGAGUGGGAGCAGAAGUUCCCUCUAGUAACUGUUAGAGAACUUCAACGCGCAAUCUCGGAUCAUACUCCUCUGUUGCUGGAUUCCGGUGAGGCUAGCCAUAUAGGAAACAAACAUGGAUUCUCUUUUGAAUCAAGUUGGUUCACAAGGGAGGGGUUCAUGGAUAUGGUCGAGAGGGAAUGGAAUACAGAGGUCAGGGGCGAAACCUCUAUAGAAAGAUGGCAGUAUAAGAUUAGACAUCUUAGACAGUAUUUGAGGGGCUGGUCUAAGAAUGUGUGUGGAAUAUAUAAAGAAGAGCAAGAUAAGCUCCUCAAACUUAUAGACAAUCUAGAUCGGAAGGCUGAGAGUUGUCUUCUGGAUGCUAACGAAAGGGAUCUCAAAUUCGAGGCCGGACAGCGCUUGCGUAUUCUCCUAAGAGAGGAGGAAAUGAAAUGGGCGCUUGAGCCAAAGUGAAGGCCAUAGUUCUUGGAGACAAUAACACUAAAUUUUUCCACUUGAUUGCAAAUGGCAAGCAUAGGAAAAAGAAAAUAGUGCAGCUUGAGCAAGAUGAGGGUACAAUACUAGGUCAUGAGAAUCUAAAAUUGUACAUCUCUAACUACUACAAACAUUUAUUUGGUGCUCCUGAGCAUAGCUUUGUGACUAUGGAUGAGCAAAAAGUGGCGGAUAUUCCUCAAGUUGGAGAGGCUGACAAUGAGAUUUUAUCCGCUCCUUUCUCAGAGAAAGAGGUGUUUGACGCGAUAGGGAAUAUGAAGAAUGGAAAAGCUCCCGGUCCAGAUGGGUUUCCGGCGGAGUUUUACAAGCACUGUUGGCAUAUUAUUAAGAAUGAUCUUAUGUCAAUGUUUGCUGAUCUUUUUAGUGGUCACCUUCAACUCUUCCAUUUGAAUUUUGGUACUAUUACACUCUUACCAAAGAAGGAAGGGGCCACGCGGAUUGAACAGUUUCGUCCGAUCUGUUUGUUGAAUGUUAGCUUCAAGAUUUUCACAAAGGUGGGAACAGAUAGGUUGACUAAGAUGGCCCAUUCGGUGGUACAAUCUACGCAAACAGCUUUUAUGCCAGGACGGAAUAUCCUUGAAGGAGUCGUUGUCUUGCAUGAAACUCUUCAUGAAAUGCACUCGAAGAAACUAGAUGGGGUUAUCUUUAAAGUGGAUUUCGAAAAAGCUUACGAUAAAGUCAAAUGGUCGUUUCUCCAGCAAACCCUACGUAUGAAGGGUUUCGAUGAGCUGUGGCGUAGGCACGUCGAUUGUUUUAUAAAGAAGGGAAGUGUGGGUGUCAAAGUGAAUGAUGAUGUGGGUCAUUUUUUCCAGACACUAAAGGGUCUCCGCCAAGGAGAUCCAAUGUCUCCCAUUUUAUUUAACAUUGUUGCUGAUAUGUUGGCACUGCUGAUUAAGCGGGCCAAUGAGAAGGACCUUGUAAGGGGCUUGAUCCCUCAUCUUGUUGAGGGGGGGAGUCUCCAUUUUACAAUAUGUGGAUGACACGAUUCUUUUUUUGGAGCAUGAUCUCAGUAAAGCCAGGAACCUCAAACUUAUCCUAUGCUUAUUUGAACAGCUAUUAGGGCUGAAGAUAAAUUUUCAUAAAAGUGAAUUGUUUUGCUUUGGAAAGGCCAAGGAUGAGCAGCUCACGUAUAAUCAAUUGUUUGGUUGUGCUAGCGGGAGUUUACCUUUUACUUAUUUAGGGAUCCCAAUUCAUCACAGAAAAUUAUCAAAUAAGGAUUGGAAAUGUAUCGAGGACCGUUUCGAAAAAAGUUGAGCUGUUGGAAGGGCGAGCUCUUAUCGUAUGGAGGAAGGUUGAUACUGGUUAAUUCAGUAUUAACAAGUAUGCCUAUGUUUCUCCUAUCCUUCUUUGAAGUACCUGUUGGGGUACGGAAAAGGUUGGAUUUCAAUCGAUCACGGUUUUUCUGGCAAAGUGAUGAGAUCAAGACUAAAUACAGACUCUCGAGAUGGGACAUCAUGUGUAGACCUAAGGAUCAAGGAGGUUUAGGGAUUGAAAAUUUAGAGAUUAAAAAUAAAUGUCUACUCAAUAAAUGGCUGUCUAGAUUAUCUAUGGAGACAAAGGGGUUGUGGGUACAAAUUCUGACGAAUAAAUACCUACAAAACAAGACUUUGGCGCAGGUUACAUUGAGACCAACUGAUUCACCGUUCUGGAAGGGGGUCAUGCGGUCUAAGAAUGCUUUUUUUCUCAGGUCUAAGUUUGUUAUUGGCAAUGGCCAAUCUACUAGAUUUUGGGAGGAUACUUGGUUGGGGGAGACGCCUUUAGCCAUGCAGUAUCCGCAACUCUACCAUAUUACACAAAGGCGUCAGGCGACUGUUGCGUCAAUUUUGCGCCAGGUUCCUCUAAAUAUUCAGUUAUGUAGAGCCUUAAUAGGUAACACAUGGUCAAGCUGGCUGCAUCUAGUGAGAAGGUUGUUGGAUAUUACCCUUACUGAGAACCCUGAUAGUGUUCGUUGGAAGUUGACCACUGAUGGAGUUUUCUCGGUAAAAUCUAUGUAUUUAGAUCUCAUAGAUUCUGUGUCCAUCCCGAAGUCCUUACAUAUUUGGAAGGUCAAAGUUCCACUUAGAAUUAAGAUCUUCAUGUGGUUUGUUCGCAAGGGGGUUAUUCUAACUAAGGAUAAUUUGGUCAAACGUAAAUGAAAAGGUAAUACUAGAUGCAGUUUUUGUGAGAACGAUGAAACAAUUAAACACCUCUUUCUGGACUGUCCUAUGGCUAAACUUCUAUGGCGAACACUUCUUAUUACUUUCAACAUUAAGCCACCCAAUAGUUUAAACACGUCAUUUGGGACGUGGUUAAGAGGGGUCGAUGAUAUAACUGCUAGCCUGAUCCGAGUAGGAUCAUGUGCACUUCUGUGGGCUACAUGAAACUGUAGAAAUGACUUGGUAUUUAACAAACAUCAACAUAUUCACUUUUUGCAGGUCAUUUUCAGGGUUAUUGCCUUGAUCCGCACAUGAUCAUUACUCACUCCUGUGGAAGCCAGGGAGCCUAUGGUUACUGGGUGUGUCCGAUGGAAGAUGGUAGCUCAGGUUAUCUUCAACCGUUUUGGAUGACGGCAUAUUAAUAGGAUAGGUGUUUAGUCAUCUAGGCUUAUUUCAAUGCCUCCCGGUUGUGGCGACGACGCCGUGUAUCUUUUUGUUAUUUUCUUCAUUUACUUAUCUGAAGACUCUUUGUACUUUUCGAGGAUUUGGUUUUGAAAUAAUAUAUGGCCGUAUGCAUCCUUCGAUGCCGAGGCCGGGGCUUUGCCUCCUUUUCAAAACAAAAAAAUUUAAUUUAUCCUUUCAUUGUUAACCCCUUUUUUGGACUGCAGUUAUUCUAACUCUCUUUUAAGUAAUGUAAUAAGGCAUAUCUUUUUCCUCCAUUUCGAGACAAAGUUCGGACCUAGCACAACUGUAACAUCCGCUCUACAUCGACUCACUCUAGAGAGACUAGUCUUGGCACCUUUUGCAGAACAUGAUUAGUGUCCUGACAUGGAGUAUUUUAGCAUAUAAUGGUCAACUCUCAAGCACAUAUCACUUCAAAUUGCAUUGCUGAAAAAGAACAUACACUUGCACGUUUUUCGAACUUUCACGCAACAAUAAAGUAACUCAAUGAAAUAUUAUGAUACACUCAAAAACAAUAAUAAGCACUCAACAAAAUAUCAACAGUUUUAUUUUGAUGGACGUAGUAGGACUGUAUCUGUUGUCCACUUGGCUACUUUAUCAACAUAUUUAUUUCAACCACCCUGAUCAACAGACAAUAUCUAAGUAUGUUAUGCUAAUUGAGUUAAAAUGGAUAAUCCUUAUUUUAUAAGAUGCAAGGAGUCGAAACAUAUUGUGAUUAGUUGCAUGCUACUAGCCUACUACAACACUAUUGAUCUUAGUUAAGAAGAUUAUCUUGUGAUUAGACGAAGUCUAGAUCAUCUAGCCAAGUAUGAAAAUAUUUAAAGGAGCGUGUGGAUACCUUUUCUUCUUUAAUAAAGGAAAAAAAAUUGUGUAUAUAUGCGAGUCUGAAAACAAAGAAAAGAAAGAUGGACAGCUUAUCACAGCUUCACAUAUGUCAUCUACUCCCUGCGUUCCUAAAUAUAAGUCUUUUAAAAGAUUUUACUAAAAGACUAUAUAUGAAGCAAAAUGAAUGAAUCUACAUUUUAAAUAUAUCUAUAUACAUUCUUUAGAAAGACUUAUAUUUAGGAACGGAGGGAGUAAUAGCUAAUUGAGGGGUUCAAAUAACUUUGUUUCGCAAUAAUGAUUGAAAAUCAACCUUUUGUUGAAAUCCGAAACUCUACGUACGGUAGACCUAUUUUUAUCAAGGGAAUCAACAAAGAUGAUCUGCUACAUAAAAAUGCGCGUAUGGUCACUCACGAGCCACAAGGACGAUGCUUGAGUAGUGAUGAGUGAGGUGCACGAUGAGAUUAAAUAUUCCAACUAGUGUAACCGAAAAGUAUAGUAAGUUAGACAUCGUUCUUGGUCCACGAAAAUAGUGGCGUGAUCGAUGACAUCUUGAUGCCGGCCGGAGACUAGGAUCUGGCUGUUUGAUAGGGUACCAAUUAAUUUAUACCCUCCACUUGGCCAACUUACUUCAUCACCAGUCGAUAACUGUAUACGCAUUGUUCCAUAUUCAUGCAUGCACGUGCUUACAGCCCAAGAGCAUUGGGUUUAGCUGGUGCUGUCUGAUCCGCUUGAACUCGUAGAAAAAGGGCCUUUGGCCUGGACCCUUUAGUCCCAGCCUGUCUUUCGGUCGGAACUAAAAGCCGGCCACGUCAUCCCAAAUUAUCAGUUUAACCCGCUUGGCCACCAUUUAUAUCAUUAAAAAACCUCAAAUUUGUAGCGGGGUGAGUUUACAUGUUACCUUGGAUCGCCAUUGUUUUUUUGGCCCUGCGUGUAACGACGAUGGCCGGAGUAGGCUCGUGCAGAUUAGUCCUCCUCUUGGUAAUUAAGGAGUAUAUAUCCACUAGCUAGUGUCUGACAUUCAGAACCUCCACUCGAUGGCCAGAGUAUUUGAUAUUUAUACUCUCCUCUUGGUAAUUAAGGAGUGCAUAUCCACUAGCUAGUGAUCUAAACGUUUCUAUAUUAAUUUAUGGAGGAAAUAUUUAAUAAGGUUAUUACCCAACAUUACAGGCGCCAUCCGAUAAACCAUAUCACUUUUUUUUGCGAGGACCUAAACCAUAUUCAAAAUGCAGAAUUACUGGCACGUGGUGUAGUUUACGGAUCGAGCCUCCUCCUUCGUGGGCACCAUAGUAGUCAUGCAAGACAUCGUAGUUAUAUAGUGGUCAAGUGUGAGUUAUGAUUGCUUGUAUAUUUUUUAUGCGAUUUAUGAGUCAAUAAAAGUGCUUUUAUUGAGAAAUGUAUCUAUAUUGAUUAUUGUUGAACCUGCCAUUAAUGUAACUAUUUACACAUGUGCGGGGCCAUGCCGUCCAACACGAGGAGCUUCAAAGCGUAUGUGUGGGAGGGGAGUGCGUCGAUGCUGCAAUGACGAACUGCUCUUGGUCGGCGUCCAGCCGGUGUUCCUCACCGGCCAGACCGAGGACCAUAGGGACAUCAUCGUCACCAACCUCCACCGCCCGAGUUCAAGGGCUCCACGGUAACCUACAAGUCUCAUGAGAGGCAGAAGUUGCCGACGACCUGGUAUGUCAUCGUGGGCACCAUUGAUGACCAAGGGAACGACAUCCUGGGGGUAUCCGGUGGGGGGCACACCUUCAAGUUGCCCGACCACAACGGCUAGGCUACAUAGAGAUCGGCCAUGCCUUGAUUGAUUUCUUGAGUAAGCUCUAUGCUUUCAAUUGUAUGCAUGUUUAGUAAACAAUCCCUCCCUAGUUGUUGCUUUGUUCAUUUUCAUUGUCGAGAACUUGAGAUCAAUAGUUAGUAUUUAUAAGACGUGUUACGCUAAAAGUUGCAUGCAACAUAAUCAAUGGUUUGUUGGUUUUAUUGUUUCUCUCUAUUACGAGAUCCAUGGGCUAUAUUGUUGUUUGAUGUAUUGUAAUUCUUAACUUGGAUCUGUAAUAUUGAUCAUGGUGUACUUUUUAACUAAAGAUUGUUGAUGGUGGAAUUAGUAUGAAAGGUACAUAGUGCUGUCACACAUAGGGUGUCACUACUCCCAUUUUGGCCCAACAGAAGGAAGGGUCAUCAUUUACGGGUCACCAGACUGCGUUAGUAUAGAGGCAACAAGGUAUUUUAACCAUGCCGAACAUCAUUAUUGUGAAGAUUAAAAAUGAGGCGGCAACUUGGGUCAAUUUUUGGGGUGGAGGAUUUGAGAAACACUAUGCCCCGUGAGAAACUCCGCUAUAUUAUUUAAGUCUUUCGUUUUUAGCCUCUCUUUUUUCGGCAGCGGUUCUUCCAACUCUCCUAGUAAAUAGAAAGGGGGAAAGAAAAUCUUUUGCCUCCAUUUUGAAAAAGAAAAGGUUGAGACUAACAUCCCUUUCCAUCGACCCACUCUAGAGAGUGUCUCCAACCUUGUUUUCUUGGCCCUUUUGCAUGACAUGAGUAGUGUCCUAACAUGGACUCCUUGAUGUGUAACGCUCAGCUCUCCUGACCAAAUCGCUUAGAAUUACAUCACACGCAAAAGUUAUAUACUUUUGCAUGUUUUUCGCACGUCAAUGCAACAUUAAAAAUUUCAAUGAAACAUUAUGAUACAUUUUGAAACAAAAAAGAACUCAGCAAAACAUACUGUGGAAAUAGAAAAUUUUUGCCAACAACUAAAAAAACGCAGUCAUCAAUUUAGCCGCAACAAAAAUAAGAUGUUAGAAGUCAGAACAUCUUGUGCAUGAUUAUAUGCUAUAGGACUAUUCAUUAGAGAAACUAGUUGGGUAAAACUUUCUCCUUUUUCCGAAUCUCCUUUUUAAUGUGGGGAAAAAGCUAAUGCAUUGUGGUUUAAAGUAAAUAUUACAUCGGCCUGGGAAAUUUAAAAUGAAUCUAGACUGGACGGCUACAAAGAGAACCAUAAAAGUAUUCAAGCACGUCAGAAGAAAAGGAAAGAUAAAAUUCAAAAAAGAAAAGAGAAAAGGAAAGAUGAACAACCUAUCACUUGCCUCAUAUCUUUACCUAAUAAUAAAGAGGCUAUUGCUUCCGUCGAAAAACCCACCGCUGCCGUUUUUUAAAAAGCCCCCUGUCUUUUAGGUAAUUAAACCCGCAGUACCUUUUUAUGUGUUACGAACAUGAAAACGUUUCAUUUUUGCAGGGAGCCUCCCAUGGCAUUGGAUAAGAGAAACGCAUCUGGGCUGACGAAAACGCACGAGAGGGCUAUCGCUUCUGCCCUCAUAAUCCCACAUCGAUACUUCACAGAUAAUUUCAUCACUUUAUAUACAUGCGCCUUGGUGAUUUUACAAGAGGCAACGGAAAUCAAGAGAGGAACAAAUUCGAGAAGAAGAAAUUGAGAUGACGCAAACAGAGGUGGAGCUGCGAGACAGAGGGGGCUCGGGGCGAAGGAAAGGGUCGGGCGCCGGCGAUGCAUACGUGGAGGUGGGGGCGUCGGGGUUAGAGGAUUCAGGCAACCGGCGGGGUAAGUCUUGCCGGAGACUGGCCCCAUAGGCCGACCUCGCAGCAGCACACCAUGGGAGGUGGUCGCGAGGUGCAGAGGUGGGAGGCGGUGGAGGAGCGGAGGAGGAGGCGAGUGCGGGCGCCAUUGGAAGGGGGGAGUCGGGGAGAUUGGGGAUCCUGUGGGGCUCUCUCCCCUAGCGGCGCGAGGUGGAGGAGAGGAGGGGGGCUGGGGAUCGGGCUAGGUUAGGGGAUUUAGGAGUGGGUAAGGCUAUGCCUUGGCACGCCUAAUGGGUUGUGCACUACUACUCAUCUCUCUUUCCUUUAAUUUCUUUAUCUAAAUUCUUUAAUUAAAAAUAUGUGGUAUUAUUUUUUUUCCGUUGCAACGCACGGGUCCUUUUGCUAGUAUCAUCUAACAAAUCGAGGGGUUCGCAUAGAUCUGCUUCGCCACAUAAUAAUAUAAUCAUGACAAAAGGCUACCUUCUGGUGAAAGCAGAAGCUCUGCAAUAAAGCUGCAAUCGUAGACCUAUUUUAUGAAGGGAACCAACAAAUCGAGCUGCACAAUCCAAUUAAAUACUAAUUCCUCCGUUCCUAAAUAUAAGAUUUUUUAAAGAUUAUAUUAUGAACUACAUAAAAAGAAAAAUGAAUGAAUCUAUAUUUUAAAAUAUGUUUAUAUACAUUUGUAUGUAGUUCAUAGUUAAAUCUAUAAAAGGUCUUAUAUUUAAAAACAGAGGGAGUAUAAGUACUGAGUAAGUUUGACAUUUGUUCUUGGUCCAACAAAACAGUCGUGUGACCCAUGACGAAGCGGCGAUGCCGGAGUUGGAUCUCACUGUCUGAUAUUUAUCGAUUUGUGCCCUCCACUUGGCCAGCUUAAUUGAUCACCAGUCUCUUUCAUUGACAAUUAGUGCUGCUCAUACACGUGCGUUGCAUACAGAUGAUAUAUUGGGUUUAGGUACGGCUGUCUGAUCCACUUGGCCACCUUCUCACUAGAAAGCUCAAGUUUGCAGCGACGAGUUUGCAUGUUACUACAUUGGAUCGCCGUUGUUUAGCCCUGCGUGUGUGAUGAGGGGCGGAGACCCGGAGCAGACCCGUGCAGAUUCGUAUUCCCUUGGUUAUGUUUUAUUCUGUAUAUUAGGUUUGUAUAAUGUAAAACCUAAAUUUGCUUCGCCACAUAAUAUAAAAUAAUAUAAUCAUGACAAAGGCUACCUUCUGGUGAAAGCAGAAGCUCUGCAAUCAAGCUGCAAUCGUAGACCUAUUUUAUGGAGGGAACCAACAAAUCGAGCUGCACAAUCAAAUUAAAUACUACUCCCUCCCUUUUUAAAUAUAAAAACUUUUAAAAAUUAUACUAUGAACUAUAUAAGAAACGGAAUGAGUGAAUCAAUACUCUAAAAUACUCCCUCCGUUCUAAAAUAGGUGUCUUAACCUUAAUACAAUUUUGUACUAGAUCUAGUACAAAGUUGAGACAAUUAUUUUAAGACAGAGAGAGUAUGUCUAUAUAUAUUUAUAUGUAGUUUAUGUUGGCUUUGGAUCCGUAGAUUAAUUCACCCAGUAGCUACCACAUACGUGCAAGCUAGCCUCUAAGCUAGCAAGCAGGCACACAAGUGGAUGGAUAUCCAAUUCGUAGAAAUAGAACGACGUACGACGAGCUAGCUAACUGAUUCGAUCGUCUUGACUGCUCGGAAUGUAACUCGUUGAAAAACUGAUCGAUGGAUUGCUAACAGGCUCGUAUCGAGCCUGGUACUUUUUUAUUGCGUUUUGAUCUCUGGUGUUACAAGCAACAUCUCUAGGAUGCCUUUUAUACACAUCCACAAGGAACUAUGAAAAUAGACUAGGACUAGGUAUCCUAAUACUACUAGAACUCGGUUUGAUUUUCUUUCCUAAUCCUAUGUGUACAAGGCAACGUGAUUAACUCACAUUCACCCCCUAAUCACGAUGUCCUUACUUCCGACCUGGGUCCCAAACACGAUUGCUGCUUCUCAUAAAUGUUAUCAUCGACAUGGCCUUUGUCGUCCCUUGCAACAUUUUAUGGACCGUCUUUACUGUCGUCGGCUCGUCCGUAGCUCGAUGACAACACUCCUUUUUGGUCGUGUCUUCAAUCUUCAUCUCUUCUUCGGUGCUUUGUAGACUGUCCUUCGGAUCAUCGAGGGUACAUCUUUUGAACCUGAGCGUGACCAUACUUUGGUCUAACUUUGAAUUUCAAGCUCUUGGCGCUUGCAUCAGCCCGUAACUUUGAACCACAAGGAAGAAGUACUUCUUUCCUCCGUGAGUUGCUGGGGUGAUAGGGCCACAUAGAUCACCAUGGAGCAGCUAGAGUGCAUCACUUGCACGAUAGGUAGACUGAGCAGGGAACGGCCUGCGGUGCUGUUUUCCAACCAAGCACCCGUCACAUACUCGAUCAACAUGGUCGAUAACUGGCAUCCCGGAUACCAUCUCCAUCUUUGACAUCUUCUUCAAGGCGUAGAAGUUAACAUGUCCGAAUCAUCAUCACUCUUGGCGAGCCAACACUCCAGUUGAGAUUGAUCAAGGUUGAGGAUAUAGAGCCUGUUCCGUGUGCGAGUAACACGAGCUAGCACGUUUCGGAGGUUGUCGAAGAUCGUCAUUACUCCGUUAUCGAUACCCACCUUGCAUCCAUUCUCGUCAAGCUUCCCAAUAAAGAUGAUGUUGUUGUGAAGCCGUGGGAUGUAGUACACUCCGGUAAGUAUGCGAUGUUCGCCUGUGAGACCCUCGAAGAGGACAGAUCCUUGCCCACAAAUCUCCACAUUUGAACCAUCACCGAACUUGACUGAGCCUUCAACAUCGUAUUCCAGCUCGAGGAAUUUCUCCUUGCACCCCGUCAUGUGGUUACUGGCACCCGUGUCGAGAUACCACAACACAUUCUGAUCACCAGCUAACUUCGGUGUCACUUUGUUUUCAUGAAGUAGCACCUUCCGGCUUGGUUUCACAACCACCGUUUCAGCGAGAUCACAAACUUCGGCCAUCAGAAGACCUGGACCUUCGUCUUCCUCCUUUGCCAAAUUUGCCUUGAUCUCUCGCUUGUCAUGCUCCGGACAAUCCUUUGCAAAGUGACCCAUCUCGUUGCAGUUAUAGCACUUGACCUCGGACAUAUCCAAGUUCCGUUGCUUCCGCCCUUUAGAUCGGUCAGCCUUACCACGACCUUGUAGCUUGCCUUUUCCUUUGCCUUCUCCGGUUUGUCCGCCGCGCGUUGUGCUGCUUGAGCCUUCGUUGCCAUCACACCUUCCUUUGCUACUUGGGGACUCCCAAUCUGCACGUGAGUACAUGAGUUGGUCACUACCUCCUCCGUUGCCUUCCCGACAACUACGAGAAUUCUCUUCCCACGUCCGCAGGCGUCCGAUCGCCUCCGUUAUGGUCAUGUCGUCGAUGUCGUAAAGCUGCUCGAGCGUGCCAAUGAUGUACGUGAAUUUUUUAGUCACCGAACUGAAAAAUUUCUCCACAAUCUCGGUCUCCUCGAGCUUUGCACCAAGCGCGCGGAUCUCUCCCACCAAAGUAGUAAGACGCAUGGCAUAGUCGUUCACCGAUUCAGUUUUCUCCAUCUGCAACUUGUGAAAUUGGCGCUUCAGCACUUGUGCCCGAGCCUUGGUGACGCGAUCUUCUCCGAUCCUCAUCUCGUUGAGUGCGUUCCACGCCUCUCUUGCCGUCUCGAACUCCACCAAUGUCAUCAGCACGGAAUCCGGCACAGACUGGGCUAUGGCGGCCAUGGCACCUUCGUCGCGCUCCUCGUCGACGUCGUCGUCCGUGAUGGCCUCCCACACUCGAAGAGAUCGGAGAAUAAUCUUCAUCUUCACCGCCCACACGUCAUAGUUGGCAUCGGUGAGCAUCGGGUACUGGAUGGGGAUGUUGCGAUGCGCCUGGACGUUGGCGCUGCUCGUUCCUCCAUCACUCGUUGCUGACUUGUCGUCCUUCUUCACCUUGUCGUCGUUCUUGUUCGCCUUGGCACCGCCUUUGCCGGAUUUGACCGACUCAGCGUCGCUGUCCGUCAUCGUAGAUCGUAGAUCGUCGAGGCUCUGAUACCAAUUGUUGGCUCUGGAUCUGUAGAUCAAUUCACCCAGCAGCUACCACGUACGUGCAAGCUAGCCUCUAAGCUAGCAAGCAGGCACACAGGUGGAUGGAUAUCCAAUAGAACGACGACGAGCUAGCUGACUGAUUCGAUCGUCUUGACUGCUUGGAACGUAACUCGGUGAAAAACUGAUCGAUGGAUUGCUAACAGGCUCGUAUCGAGCCUGGUACUUUUUGUAUUGCGUUUUGAUCUCUGGUGUUAUAAGCAACAUCCCUAGGGUGUCUUUUAUACACAUCCACAAGGGACUAUGAAAAUAGACUAGGACUAGGUAUCCUAAUACUACUAGGACUCGGUUUGACUAUCUUUCUUAAUCCUAUGUGUACAAGGCAACGUGAUUAACUCACAGUUCAUAGUUGAAUCUUUAAAAGGGCUUAUAUUUAAGAACGAAGGGAGUAUAAGUAGUGAGUAAGUUUGGGACACGCCGUUUUGGCUCCCGGACUCAGAUGAGCCCGAGCGUAAACAGUACGCCAGUUUGGGGUGCAAAAAAUGUUCCAAAAAAUCAAAAAAAAUUGUGAUGCAAGAUGCUCCUAUGUGUGAACUCUCUGUAAAAUUUUGUGAAGUUUGGACAUACGAGGAGCUCACUGCAAAAAAGACGAAAUUCAGAUGUGUGAGAAACUUUUGAAAAUCACACUAUUCAUGCCUGAUUUUGUCUUUUUUGCUGCAAACUCUUCAAAUGUCCAAACUUCAUAAAAUUUUACAGAGUUCACACAUCGAAGCAUCUUGCAUCAUAAAAAAAUAUUUUUUUUAAACUUUUUUGUAUUCCAAACCGUUGUACUGUUCACCGGGCUCAUACGAGCCCGGGCUCACAGAUGGAUUACCGGUAAGUUUGACAUUUGUUCUUGGUCCAACAAAACAAUGGUGUGAUCGAUGACCAAGCGGCGAUGCCGGAGUUGGAUCUCGCUGUGUGAUAUUUAUCGAUUUGUGCCCUCCACUUGGCCAGCUUAAUUGAUCGCCAGUCUCCUUCAUUGACAAUUAGUGCUGCUCAUACACAUGCGUUGCAUACAAAUGAUAUAUUGGGUUUAGGUACGGCUGUCUGAUCCACCUGGCCACCUUCUCACUAGAAAAGCUCAAGUUUGCAGCGACGAGUUUGCAUGUUACUACUCCCUGUGUACCGAAAUAUAAGACCUUUAAGAAAAAUUCCGACCAGAUGAAAAUGUGGACAAUUGACCAGGUUACCCCCCACCUCCGGCAGCUCGCUAAUUUCAAAUCAACCCAGAUCCAGUCGCCCCCCACCUCCGGCCAGCUCGCUAAUAACCCAGAUCUCACUACUCUGCUUGUCCGCUCCCUCCUCUGCCCCAGCUUGUCCGCUCCCUCCUCUGCCCCAGCUUGUGCGGCCCCUCCUCUGCCCCUACCUCCUCUGCCCAGCUCGUCUGCUAGCUACCAGCAGCUUCUCCAGUAGCCAGCGGCAGCAGCUCCUCCGGCAGCUAGCAGUAGAUCCAGCAGCUCCUCCACCAGCCAAUAGGAACUCCAGCAGCUCCUCCACCAGCUAGCACGAGCUCCAGCAGCUCCUCCACCAGACACCAGCACCAGCUCAUCCACCAGCCAGCGGCAGCCCCUCUGUCUGCCGGCAGAAGCAGCUCUUCCGCCUCUGCACUCCCAGCUGCCUCAACGAGGUCCUCUCCCAGUGAUGCACCCAUCGCCCAACAGAUCGCCGGAGGUUUUUCUUUUGAUCCAGGGUGCAGAUCGCCACAGGAGGUCCUAGUGGUGUUGGAUCCUGCUUAUCCCGUCUCCUGCAAACCAAAAAAGCAGGACAAUUAGAGGGUAUUUAUCACAACUUAGCAACAGUUGAACAGAAAACAGUUUAACAACAGCAGCAAAAAUUUUAGCGAGAUCAACAACAUCAGUAGCAGCAUCAAGACAUAGCAACAAUAGCAGCAAUAGGGAGACAUAGAAGUAGCGACAUGGAGUGGCAGCAGGAGUUCAUCAAAAUCAAUAGGGAGUAGCAGCAGCAGGAGUUCAUCACAAUCAAAAUCAACAGGGAGUGGCAACAACAUGGAAUUUGACCUCAACUGUACUCCGCCCGAAGAAGAUGAGAUCAGUCAAAAUGAGAUCAACAUGGAGGACUCACAGGGAGGCAAUGAUCAUGUUGAAGAUGAGAUCAACAUGGAGGACUCACAGAGAGGCAAUGAUCCUGGUGAACAUGAUAUGAACAUGGAGCAAAUAAGGGGAGGCAAUGAUCCCCACGAAGAUGAUAACAGUAAGCACAAUAUACUCAUUUAGCAGUAACAGUGUCUCAUUUACCAAGUUUUUGAAAAUGAACAGCAAGUCUAGUUUCUGAAGAUGAACAGUAACUCCACUUUCUAGAAAUAAACAGUAAUAGUAACUCAUUUGAUCAUUUGAACAUGUGACCAUUUAAAUAUUUUAUCAAUUUAUCAUUUGAUAAUUUGAGUAGGACUAAUAUUUUUUCAUUGUUGUGUUUCUUGUUGCAGUUCUUGAGCAAGGAGUUAGAAAGAGGAAAACUCUGAGUGACCAACAAAAAUAUGCUGCUUAUGUGGCAUUGCACAUAUUAUGUAUGAGUAGAGGUGGAAAGUUCAAGAUAACGGAUAAGAAAAACCUUGCACAUUUUUUUAAUGUAGAAUUGAGGAGUAUACAAAGAGUUUGGCAGAAGGCGAUGAAGCAAAUUUCAGAAGGUUUCGAGGUGGAUGUUUCCAACCAGAAAAAAGGAAAUGUGGAAGAAAACCAAAGGACAUCAACCUAGAGAAAAUCCCUACAAUACCACUCAAUAGUAGGUCUACUAUCAGAUCAUUAGCCUGGCAACUGGGAUGUAGCCCUACCACUCUCCACAGGAAUUCAAAAUGAAGUUGAUAAAGAGGCAUACAAACUGUGUCAAGCCAGCUCUAAAGGAAAAGAAUAAGAAGGAUAGAAUGAAAUUUUGCUUGUCAAUGCUUGAUGAGGCAACAACAAAAACUGCAAGGCCUAAGUUCAAGACUAUGCAUAAUGUUGUACAUAUUGAUGAGAAGUGGUUUACGAUGACCAAGAAGAAUAAAACUUAUUAUCUGCUGGAUGGGGAGGAAGAGCCUACAAGGCCUAUACAUGGCAACUGUAUUGGCAAGGUUAUGUUCUUGACGGGCGUAGCUAGGCCACGGUGGGAUAGUGAAGGAAAUGUGACCUUCUCUGGAAAAACCGAUGAACUCACGAUAAACUGCGUGCGCUCUUUGUCCCAGUUUCAGUUCCCUUGUUCUUGCUUUUCUAUAUCCCGAUGAACUCACGAAUCCAUGAUCCAUGGUCAAUCCCCAAUAUAUAUACUCAAGCAAUAUACUCUCUCAGCAGUAUAUAAUCAAUCAUACAGGAAAGAGUAUCACUCUCUCAGCAGAAUACAUACUCACGAAUCCAUGGUCAAUAGCAGCAUAUACUCCGUGUGGGGAUUAGUCUAGCUCGUAAGCCACGGGUCCAAAUCAAGCAAUAUAUCUACACUAGAAUCUGUAGCAGAGUACACAUCUGACAAAACCGAGAGAUGUGGAGAGGAAGGGGGUAAGAGACGGAAGGGUACCUGGGUGAGGUCGCUGAGGUGGAAGCAGCCGGUGGAGCGGUCGAGGUCGCCGCUAGGGUGUCGCCGGUGCACUGGAGCUCUGCCAACUCGUCCCCAACUCGACGCCCAGCUCGACGCCCAGUCCGGCGCCCAGCUCGAUGCCCAGGUCGACGCCGUCAUUGCUCGGGCUCGGCUUCAGCGCCUCCUUCACCCUGUCCUUGCUCGCCCAGCUCGUCGGCUUCUUGGUCUCGACGAGGCUCCCGCUGAAGUACUCCACCCCCGCCGCCGCAUAGACGAGCAACCCAACUGAGGGCGCCCGCAGCUCCCGCUGAAGUGAUCUGCUAUGUCCAGCACCACUCCGUCAUCCAUAUCCAACAUCGGCGCCCACACCAGCUCUGUCGAUGCAAAACAAACACAUUUUUGACCUUUGAGUGGGAAAGGAAGGAGAGGAAGCACGCAGUGGGAAAGGAAGGAGACAACACACGCGGUGGGCUGUGGGAGGAAGAACGCGGUGGGCUGUAGGAGGAAGAACGGUGGGCUACGGUGGCCGGCGACGACGUAGAGAGGCGACGAGGGAGGGGAAUGAGAGGGUGUGAGAUCUGGGCAGCGAGUGGAUGAGAAUGGGCAGGUGGGGGCAUUUUCGGAAACUCGGAAAGUUUCGUAGUGUCGCGAGAUUUACACUAGAAUCGCUAAAACGUCUUAUAUUUCGGUACAGAGGGAGUACAUUGGAGCAGACCUGUGCAGAUUCGUACUCCCUUCGUUUUUAUUUAUUCUGUAUAUCAGGUUUAUAUAAUGUCAAACCUAAAUCCUUUUAACAAAUUUGUAGAAAAAUAUAUCAACAUAAUCCCUUCAUUUCACAAUUUAGCGCUCGUUCGUGUGCUUUUCGAGAUCUAAGUUUGACCAUACCUUUAAACAAGAAGACCGAUUGCUAUGGGAGCAAAAAUUGAAUCACUGAAUUUGUAUUGAAAUUAAAUACUGAAUUUGUAUCGAAAAUAUAAAUUCAUUGGUAUAAUUUCUGUUGCCACCGCAGUCGGUCUCGUUGGUGAAAUUUAUGGUCAAACUUAGACCUCAAAAAACGCGAGCGCACUACAUUGUGGAACGGAGGGAGUAUACACCAUCAAAUCAAUAUCAUUGGAUUCAUCAUUUCAUAUAUUUUCACAUCAUAUAAAUUUAUUAUUGUAAAUGUUCAUAUCGUUUUCUACAAAUUUCAUCAUACUUUAGAUAGUUUGACUUCAGACAAAACUAAUAUGAGGAGUAAAUAAAAUCAGAGGGGUACCACUCCUAGUAAUUAAUGUGUAUAUCCACUAGCUGCUGAUUGACAUUCAAAUUCUCCACUUGACGAUGGCCAGAGUAUCUGAUAUUCAAACUCUCCACUUGGCCACCUUAUUUCUUCUCCCCAAAUGAGCUAUGAACUGCUCAUUCAUCCAACAUUAAAAUCACUGUGAUGAAACUCUACUCUUUCAGUUUCAUAAUUAGUGCAUAUAGUUUUUCCCCAAAAAACUAAACUUUGACAAAGAUUAUAAAUAAAAAGUCUAUAUCUAGCACAUUGAAUACAUACCAAUAGAUUCGUCAAAAAUAUUUGCAUAUAUUAUAUGAUGGUAUUGUGGAUAUACAUAGAGUUAUCUAUAAACUUGGUCAGAUUUUACAAUGUUUGACUUUUCUAUAAAACCAAUAUGCACUACACUAGGGGAUGGAGGGAGUAUCGUAUGAAAUAUUAUGUGGAAUUAUUCCGUUUCAGACAAUGUUUGGUAUCAAACACAACAGGUACAAUGUUCUAUAGUUUCUCCAAUGUGCAGAAUUAUUAGUUGAAUUGGCAAUUAUUUACAGGAGGGGAGUGCGCUGGUGUGACCGAAAACUAAGUGGAUCGAUGUAUAACAAGCUUCUUUUGGUCGGCAUCAAGACGGUGUUCCUCAUUGUCCGAAUCGAGGACCGGAGUGCAGUAAAUUUUACCAAUCUAUGAUGCGCUCUGGGUGGAUGAAACUGCUCCAAAAGUUGCCCGAGUUCAACGACUCUGUGGUGACCUACGAAUCCGGCGAGCGGCAGAAGUUGCAAGACGUCAGGUAUGAUAUCGUAGGCAACAAUAGUGACCAGUGGAGUGACAUCCUCGACACACCCAAGGGCACCCGCACCUUUAAGCUUCCCUACCCGAUGUACUAAAUCGGCUAGGUUGAAUGCUAGCUAAUCGUCCACGAAUAAGCUCCAUGUUGUUCACUAUCCAUGCUUUGUGAUUACCUUUUUUCCGGGCAUGCUUCCUCAAUACUAAUCCACUAUUACUGCUAGUUUUCUAAUUUCUAUUGAGAAAUCUAUUGCUGCUUGGUUAAAUUCCAUAGUUGGGACCUUGAGUCAGUUACUAGUAUUAAUAAGGUAUGCUACAAAGAAAUUGCAUCUUGCAUAAUCAAUGAAUCGAUGCUCCAUUUUUCCUUGAUUAUAUAAUAUAUGUAGUUUCUAUUUUACACUUUGAUUUAUUUAUUUUUUACUUUUAAUAUUUCCUUUUUUUUCAUUUUCUAGUUUUAUGUUUUAUUUUUUUAUUUGAUCUCCCUUAUGUAUUUAUUUUCUUAUUUUAUUCUUUAGAAUGCUUUCUAUUUGUAAAAAAUAAUGAAUUUUUCCAUACCCUAAUAGUUAAAAACAAUUCCGGGAUAUUAAAAUUACGAUGAACAAGGUCCUAAUAUACGUCGAGAUUUUCCCAAAUACCUGAUGAAUAGUUUUUAUAUGUUUAAGUACAUUUAUAAUUUUGUAAUUACACCAUCAAAUUUAAAUAUAUUUUAAAUAUUUGUUGAAUGCACAAAAAGCAUUUACUAAAUAAUUCGGAACAUUUGCUAUUACAUUGUGAACAUUUCUAGAAUACACAUUGAACAGUUUCCAAACCAUGAUGACUUUUCUAAAUAUGCAUUAUAAAAUUUUCAGUUACACGAACUAAACUGUUUUACCCUGAAUUAUUAUUAUUUUUAAAUUUGUUUUUUCUUAGAAUUAUAAAUAAAAUUAAAUUGAAGUGUUUCAGAGUAUAAAGGACAGAACGGGUAAAAACAAUGACAGAAAAAAUAAAAAUUGCAUUGGGUCGGGUCAUUGUGGAAUACUAUGGGCGAGCCCAAAGGAGUGUUCAUUACUGGUGAAUUAUAGUAGCAACGUGAGGGAAAGUGUGCUUCUCAGCCCGAGCUCAAAUGAGCUCUGGUGAACAGUAAAAUCCAAAAAUAAUUAAAAAAAUAUGAAAUUGUUUGGUGAAAGAAAUUGAAAAUAGUCGUAACUGCCUCCAAAAUUGUAUUAUGAAAUAACAUUUAUUGAAGCCAUGGAGAAAACAAAAUCGAUACUCCAAAAUGCUUUUGAAAUUAGUAUUUUCAGAGUAUCGAUUUUGUUUUUUUGCCACAUGUCACACAAAUGUGAUUUUCUGAUGAAAUCUUGCAAGAUAUUAGAACUUUUGCCAAUGUUUAUCACAAAAAAAAAUAGAUUUUUCUGGAUUUUUUUAAUUUAGUUUUGAUUUUACUGUUCAUCAAAGCUCAUUUGAGCUCGGGCUGAGAAACUCCACAUCCCAACGUGAGCGCCUAUUUGGUGUCGUGCUCAUUUCUGGUAGCCGACAAACUGAGUGGUUUUGUGCGUGACGUAAAAGACACAAAACAAUCAGGGCACUUCGAAGGAAUCAACGUUGUGUCCUUUCACAGGGAAUGCGUGAUGCUAGUUGCUGGCCACUCGUGCCAACAAUUUUUGCUAAUAGAAACACAACAACAAUGUGCAGGAAAUUACUGCAGCGGUGAAUUCCAAAUAUUUUCUAAAGUACACAAAUAUUUCAUCAAAUCUGAACGUUUUUUGAAAAAUCACAGUAUUUUUAAGAUGCCCAAUAUUUUUUUUAACUUUUCAGAAUAUUUUAAAUUUCAAACUUUUUUUUUAAAUUGCCAAACAUGUUUUGAAUUUGUGGACAAAACUUUUGAACAGAGAAACAGUUUUACAACAUCUGAAACCUUUUUUGGAACGCAAUAAGUUUUUCCAAAUUUCCAAGCAUUUACAGAAAAUGGAACAUAUAUUGACCAUUUCCAAACAUUUUUCAAAAACAUGAAUACUUUUUGAUUUAUGAACAUCAUUUCAAAACAGGAACAUUUUUUGAUAAUUCUGAACUAUGUUAGAAAAUGCGAACAAUUUUUGGACGUUUGUUGAGAACCCAAUCAUUUUUAGAAGAAAAACAAUUAUUAAAGUUUCAGACAUUUUUUUACUUGUGAAGUAAUGACCAAAGAAAACCAUAAAAUGUAAAACAACCGAAAAUAAGGAAAAAAGGAAAGAAAAAGUUGAAAAAAAUAAAAAUAUGAAUAAUAAAAAAUAAUAAAUUCUGGAAAGCAGUGAAAAAUAAAUCACAAAACGGAGACCAGUUUAUACGUCCUGCUGCUAUAUGACAAAGUAAAAAAUCUAAAAAGAAAAUCCCACAACAAAAGCUAUUUGACAUACCGAGCGUCAUAUAGAAAAUUCAAACAACAACCACCACAGAACGCUGAUACAGAUGACGGGCAGGUGGAUGUUUCUCAGAAUCAGAUUUUGAAGAAUCAUGAGGCGAAAAGAACUGGUGCCUGCAAUCGGCCGUGGCAUGUACACAGGUGCUAGUAAUGAUAUAAAUCACGGAUAUUGAUUUUGAAGGUCGAGCUCCAUGGAGGUCUUUGAAUGCAAAAUUCAAAAUUCAUGAAAAUAUUUUUUUUUUAUAUUUCGAAAAAUUCCGUAACAAAUACAGAGAUAGAUGAAGGCAUAAUACACAAGUGUGUAAAUUUUUAGGACCAAAUACGUUGAAAUAAGGCUGUACAAAAAAGGCAAAUCUGAGGUUGUUUAACACAUGAUACUAUUCAUCCUCUCGGAACAUGAUUUUAUAUUUUUAUACAGGUUGCAUUUCAACGUAUUUCAUCCUUGUUUAGUUUUAUAAUUGUUUUCAAAAAAUCUGAGGAUGAGGCAUAUGUCUCACAUCCUUGUUUAGUUGUAUAAUUGUUGUAAGAUUUUUUUUUUAAUUUUGAACUUUUCAAAAAAUCGGCCUCGGCCAAAACGCCUUUCUCUAUAAAUCGUGAUUUGUAUACUGGUAAGAAGAAUGAAGCAAUGCAUAUUCAACUAAACAAACUACAUAUUGUCUUGAAUUCACUCAUUUGGAAUCUAGCUAGAAAGGGUGCUUUUUAGGUGCCCAGAUUUUUUAAUUUUUUUGAGGGAAGUGACGAGGUUCUUGGGAAGAAAAGAUUUAACAGAUUCAUUGGUUUUCACAAAGAGAGCAAAUCAAUAUGAGCGCAGAAGCAAUCGAGUUUUGCCAUUAUUAAGCAACAACAUGACAUACAUGAUACAACUAGAGGUACAUAUAGCUAAAUUAGCGGAAGCCCUUUGUAUUGGUACUGCUCGCCGAGCUCCGCGAGCAGAUCGUUUUCCGCCUUGAGUAUGUCGCCCAUGUUGUCCAGCAGGAGGUACUUGUCCAGCGAGAAGCCCGACUCCGGCGAGAUGAGCGCCGCGACGUUUCUCAGGAACUCCUCGUCUAAUGGGGCAAGGGGCUCCCACUUUUGUCCCGACGUCAGCAGCGGCUUCUGAGGUCGCCGCCUCACGACCUUCAUUUUCUUCUUCUUCAUCGUCAUCCUCCUCUUCUCCCCUCUUGCGGGCGUCGGCGACUUCGCCCCCGCCUCCGUGUUCUCACACGAUGAACUCGCCAUGAUUCUUCUCCCGUCCUUCUUCCGCUGAGAAGAUUGGUCUGCUCUGCUGGUUUCGCAGACUUGCGUGCUCGCCGGCACCGGUAUAAAUACAGCAAAAAUAAGAGAUCGAUGAUUCAUUUCUUGGCUAGGGGAGCAGUUCGUUGUAUCCGACUCGUAUUCAGUCCACGGUUCCGGUUCCUACUCCCGCAUGGUCGACGCAUCGGUUGGGAUCCUAAUUGGGACGGCCCAAUGGUAGGUUAUUUUAUAGUAUUUUUAUGUAUAUUGUCUAUAAGGACGUUACUGCAUCAAAAAGAAAAGUAUAAUGGCUCUGCAUCUAGUCUAGUUGCUGAAGCGUGUGCGUCGAACAGCUUCCCCAUCGCUUAGUGACAGUUCAUGAAAUCGUGUGCGAUGACCAUUUCUAUGGAUUUUUUUUGCAUGAUAAUAUGUGUCUCAUUUAUAUCAUAAUGAAAAUAAUACAAGACCAUUGUUGUGGAUUAUAACAACACAUAUACACAGCCAAAUACAAACCCUACGGUCUUGGUCACAAUAUAGUGGUACAGGUGUCCAUUAGGACAUAUGUCCGUGUGUUGCAACGGAAAAAAAAUUAAUUUGUAUUUGCAAGCACAACACGUCAUGCUCCGCUACGAAAGAACGCUAGUUACCACAUGACCAAAACGACCAUCGAUGCAUCACUACAUCCAGAGAGUGUCACCACCUGCAGGGAGGCGCACGUCAAAGCCUUCAACAAACGCGGGGACUAUGUUACUCCCUUUGUCAGACAUUAUUAGGCUGGUGGACCACUUAGCCUCAGCCGGACAUUAAUCAUGAAGUGAGCCUUAGCGCAGAUGGUAAAGAUAUCUUCAACGUGACGAUGUGGCGUUGUGGCUCCCUGGCCCAGAUCUUCCCACCAAUGAAUAGUAAAAUCGACAAAAAAUAGAAAAAAUGAUUUUUUUUUUUGGAGUGCAAGAUGUUCCUUUGGGUGAUGUCAAAAACUGCUUGGAGCUGAUUUUUAUUUUUUUUUGCCAGACGCUCCUCGAAUGUCCAAAUACCUCGAAAUUUUGCAGACAUUUUAGCAUCUUAUGAGCCAAAAAGGAUUCAGAUUUUUUUGAUAUUGUGCUUUUCACCGGAUGCAGAUGAGCCGGGGACCAUUUUGAUUAUUAUUAUGGCUAAUCUAGUUUAAAUGUGUCAUUGUUCAUGUAGCCCACAAUCAUUUUUUCUUUUAUUGUUUGAACACACCACGUCCUUCAUUUCUUUUAAAGGUUUCCUUGCAUGUCUGCUCGUCGUGCAGUUCAUUCCUUUUAAUUGUCAUUCCUUUUAAUUGUCCGCUUUUAGCAUCCAUUUUUAACUGUCUUGCUGAUAUUCCAAGCAAACCGCAAGGUAUAUAAACCGGUAGGGAUCUAUCUAAAGAGGCAAGGUGGGUUUAUUUAACAUAAAAUAUUGAUGUCGAGUUAUUUUUAAAAAAACAGCCUCAACUUUAUUAAUUAGAGAUAAUUGUUACAUCGUCUAUUAAAAAAGAUACAAUAUUUUCCAAAGGCUCCUCAAUCCACUCACUCGUAUCAGAACUCUUUGCUAAUCUAGCAAGCUCAUGUGCUACUUCGUUCGCUUCUAGUAAAAAAAAUUCAGAAGCCAUAGAAAAACAAUCCUCAAAGGUUGCAGCCGCCGCUCCCGCAUAGUACCCUCCCUUGUUCAUUGUUUCAAUUACUUCCGAGAAUAUUGAUGUAGAGUUGGUUAGUGCAGUUGCCUUACCCUGGACAUGGAGUAUUGAGUUUAAUCUUCCAUAAAUACAUAUUUUUGUACACGUUGUUCGUGGCCCAUGGCAGACGGCCCAAUAUUGUAGCGAAGCCCAGCAGUGCAGCAACCUGACAUGGUACGAUAGAUGGUGAGGUGUAUGCGUGCUAGCAACGUAAGAAAACGGCCAGGGAGAGGCAAUGUAUGUACAAUAUUUUUAACCAUGGAUUCAAGCUCGUAAAAUUUUGAGACUUUUCCAUAAAACUGUAUGACAGACUAAGAAUACAUAUUUUCUUAAUUAGUAGGUAUAGAUGCGGCAAGUGGAUUGUUUCCUGGUUUUGGGAAGUUUCCAUAAGCUUUUCAGACGGUUUUUCAUUUUUUCUAUUUUGGGGUUUUCCUGUACCAAUCUUGUCUAUUUUUUAUUUUCUACUUAUUUUCAUUUUGCUUUAUUGCAUAUUCUUUUACUUUUUUUCAUUUUCCUUUUUCUAUUUAAUUUUGGCAAAACACGAAUUGUUUCAAUUUUAUGAUACUUUUUUUAAUUGAGGAACUCCUUUUCGAACUCGUUUUUUCAAGUUCAUCAUUAUUAUUUUUUAAAAUUAUCACCUUUUUAAAAAAUAUAUGAACUAUUUUUAAUGUUUGUGAACGCUGUCUCAAAAUUGAUGAACUUUUUUCCUAAAUGCUGAAGUUUAUUUUAAAACUGAUGAACUUAUUUUAAUAUUUGAUGAUCUAAUUUUAAAACCGGAGAAUGUUUUUGCAAAAUAGACGAACUGUUUUUCUAGCAUAUGUACCUUUUGAAAAUUCAUGAACUUUUUUUCAAUUUUUGGGCUUUUUUUAAAAGUUGAUGAGCUUUAUUCAAAAUCGUGAAAUAUUUUCCAUCUAUGUGCAACCUCUUUUUUCAAAAUCAUGAACAUUUUCGAAUUGAUGAACUAUUAACAGAGAUUAUACGCAUGACCUUUUUUGAAUUCGCAAACUUUUUGUUGAAAUAUCUGCAUUCUAUUUGAUUUUCUGAUUAUUAUUUUCAAGCUAGCGAGCGUGCUCGUGGGCUCACCCAUGCUAGCAAUGGUGCGAGCUGGCACUGGCGCAAAACGCGUCAAUUAGGAAGAGCAACUAAUUAAGGAGUACUCGUCCGAGAGCCUCUCGAAGGGUCCAUUGCCACGUGUCGUACUCUUGGUGUUUCCUUUGGAUUUUUUUCUAUACAUAUUUAUGUCUGGAAUUUUGGCUUUAAGAUGAUUUUGUUUUCCGGGUUUUUUUGGCUUUUCCGUUUACCCCCGAUUUUUCUUACAAUUUAGACCCAAAAAUAAGAUUUUAAAGAAAAAUCACAAAAAAAUGCAUUUUCUCUUUCUUUUUUCCUACCCUGAGAGACAUGGAUUUGCUUCUCUUAGAGGCACAUGUGCCUCCUGAAAAAGCAAAAAAAAUGUUUUUUCCUUCCGCGAGGCAAGGUCGUGCCUCUCAGAAAAGAAAAAAGAUCCAUUUUUCCUUUCACGGAAGUACGGAUUUGCUUCCCUGAAAGGCCUAGUCGUGCAUCUUGAAAAAGGAAAAAUGCAUGUUCUCAUGAAGGAAAACAACGUGGUUUUAGUUUGGUUUUUUUGUUUGAUUUUUUCGUGAAAAAAAGUCCAACGAAACAUAUCAACAUGUGGUCUAGUUUUUAAGAUCUCGACGCAUGGAAUCUAACGGCAAAACCAGUUCUAGAUUUGGACGUAGGUUUUGAGAGAUAAAAUGUUUUGAAUAAACAAAUCUGCGAAAAAGGAAAAACCCUUAGGUUGCUACAAGUGACGCACAUGCAGUUGAAGACUUGUCGCACCCUGGGUUGGGGGAGUGAUCUUUGCCAAGAGUAGUUUUCAAUUAGUGAUUUCGCUAAUUAGAAGCUCGCAUCAUCUCCGAUGCGAGCACUAGUGGAUCAGCCCAUGUGCGCUCAUAUGGGUUUUUUGGAGCGGCUUUUGGAAGCUUCUAUGGAGCUGUUUAGACAAAUUUGAAAACCUUUCAUUCAUUUUUUAUGUGUUCACUAUAUAGAUUUACAUGGACUAAAGUAAAAUGUAGAUUUACAUUAUUUUUUCCCUUAGUUUUCUUUGUGUGUUUUUAUUCAUUUUUUGAAUACACAUGGAAUUUUUGGAAAUACAGUUCGAAUAUUUUUUGUUUACAUGUUAUUUCUUUUAUACACGUUGAUGAUUUUUGUAGACACAUUUAAGUGUUUUCCAAAAUAAACAGUAUUGAUUUGUCAAAUGAACAUUGGAUUUCUUAUGAAUAUAAGGUGAACAUUUAUGAAACACCCAUUGAACAUUUAGAAAAAUUCCAUGAACAUUUUUUUCUUAAAGCAUGCAAAACAGUUCUUAAUGUUAGAACAUAUUUUUUAAUGUCAAAGACAUUUUUGUUGAAUGGUACAAAAUAUUAUUUAAAAUUACAAGACCAUUUUUACAUACUAGAAACAGUUGUGGAAAAUGUUAUGACCAUAUUUUUGAAACGGCUGAAUAUUGUUUAAAUUUCAUAAAUAUAUUUAGAAUGGUAUGUCAAAAGUUUAAAAAUAUGUGAAUAUUGUUUCUACAUUGUAUAAAAAAUUUAAAAACUGUCAUGAACAUAUUUCUGAACACAUGAACUAAAUGUCAGGAACAUUUUUCGAAUGGUACAAACAUUUUUAAAAUUGUGGAGACAAUUUAUUACACUACAUGAACAUUUAUUUGAAACACGCAAUGAACAAGGGGUAAGGGACACGUGUCAUGUGCUUUGCUAGCGCAUCGUGGUUGCUGAGUGUCUCAUUCCUUUGUUGUUGAGUUUUGUUUUAGUGCGGAGUGUUUUUACAGUAUACUCGAGAAAGAUCCUACGUUACGAAGGAUGUGUUUGGUAGGCGUUUCUAGCGGGACUGGCUCGUGGACAUUGGCUCAACAAAGUUUGGUUGAGAUAAAACGAUCAUAAAACUAACAUCUGCAUUUAGUUUGGUUGCCGGCAUACAUUCUAAACUGAAUGGGGUGUCAUGAAAGACAUACUAUUUGGUUGUCUGUUUGUGUAUGCGCAAACACAAGGCCUACUAUUUGGCUGCAUGCAACACUUGUUGUGAGAUAACCUCUUCGAUGCGGUGGUGAGGUUACCAUCACAUAGCGGCGUCAGGAAGAACACACAACAUAACAUAGUAGUAAGCAGUUAUAAAUAUUGUGUCACAUUUAAAUAGAUUAGUUUAAAUGCAAAGCAGUUCAAUAUUAAACUAAAGCAACUAGAGCAUAUGAGCGGUUGUCCUAGACGUUCACAACGAAGGCAUCGUCAUGUCUCCCGCACCAGGCCACCACUUUACUGCCAUCGUCAUUGAAGACGAUGACCUUCACCAUGUCGGGAGUCAUCAACUGUGACCAUGAAGCCUAUCUUGAUUUGUUGGACGGCGACGAAGGUGGCCCAAACCUGGUCGAGGGUGACCCUUUCGUUCAACAGACGGACAAUGACCCUCCUAGAGCACUCGGUGUUCGCCUUCAAAUUGAACUCCUGUGGCAUAGACGGGAAGUGCUUCAUGAAGUCGAGUGGCAUAGGUAUGGCCUCGAGUGGCAUGAUUACCUUGCAGAAGUUAUUUGGCUCACCCAUCUCAUGGUAGUGGUCGUAGUUCUGACGCUUGUCGCUGGGGGGCUCCUCCGCGUAUCGUUGUCCGUGACCGGGCUCUGGACAGGCGCCACCUUUGAGGGCGGCACAACAUCCUUGCACUUGUAUUGCUCCUUUGGUGGCACCACCUCAUUGCCCUUGUUCUCCGUGUCGAUUUGCAGUGUGAAGAGGUUCAAACGAUUGGGUCAGGAUUUGCAAUAUGAACAUUGCAUCAUUGUCAUUAACUUAUUGUCGAGAACCCCAUUAUUUACCUAGGCUGAUGGUUACCACUUACCCACCACCUAGUUGUUUGUCUCUCUUCCUCCAACCCAAUGCCAUGAACUCUAAGAACAAGUCUAACCCCAUCCGCAACCCCUUUCCUUGGGGCAUUGGAUGGAGGGCCUUCUUCCUAGGGUGCUCGCUCGAUGACCGCACCAAGUUUGAGAACACCAUGAAAGUGUGUUCAAACUUCAACAGCUUGGAGGAGCAGUACAAAGAGUAGGACGCUAUGGUGAAGAAGGCGAGUCGGAGGAGUUGAAGACGCUGAUCAGUGACCCAAUGAAGGGUUCUAUGUGAGCCGACAUACUUCAUUGAGCCAUGAAUCAAGCCGUCCCCGGCGACGCUGGACAGAGGGAAAACUGAGCCAAGUACAGACAGCAUCGGUGUUCUUAUGACCACGGGGCCGCAACGUACUUCACCACAAAGAUUAUGGUGGUGCCGGUGGAGGAGCAUCAAGAAGUGCUGGCUAUGGAGGUGGAAGAGGAAGAUGCAGUGGCGACGAUUGUGAGGGCGCUGGAGCUAGGACACCUAAGCAUGCCAAUCAAGUUGGACUCCGGCGAGGAAGAAGAUAUGGUGGUGUAGGUCGAGGAGAAGACCAAGGCCAAGGCUACCCACCGCUCCAAUCGCCUCCAGGGUCCUGUGUACUAUGUAAGAUGAACCCUAAUCCCCAUUCCGAUUGUACUCAAUCCUGAUUGGGAACCUCAUAUCUACCCGUAGUCAUGACGAUGUUAUGACCACUCCUAUGGUGUUUACCCCGAUUCCCCAUUCUCCUAACAUGGAUCGAACCUAAACUCGGAUCAAAUGCAAAGUAGUACAUGAGGAGGGGGGAAAGUGCUUACCGCCAUUGCCGAAGUGCUGCUGUGGAUGCCGGUGAAGAGGCCGGAGUCGAUUUGCUGUUCCUCGAUCUGAUGCACGCCAUCGCCGCCGUCGGUGAGAGUAGGGAGAGUGGAAAGAGAGCGGUGAGAAAAGGUAAGGGUAAUGACUGUCGACGCUUCGGGAAACAACGCGGCUUCUCAAGGGUGGCUCCCCUUGUGCAACCCCUGCCGCCCACGUGCAUCGCAGAGGCCUGGCUCGCGAGAAACUACCAAUUCGAACGUGCCUCGCGAGACAUACCCAGACAUGCUUUAAAGUUCGUGACAUGCAGGCCCAACAAUGUAUGUUGACAACCAAUCAGUUUGUUUUCUUUCCACGGGCCUGGUUGGACCUUAUGCGGGCAACCAAACGCAUCCCCAAGUGUUGUUUAUUUGUCGGAAUUUUCUAAGGUACUGGGCAAACGACAUGUGUACUGAGUGCCCAUGAAAUUACACCAGGCAAACUGUAAAAUACUCAGCGUAAUUUUUUUCCUGUAGUUGUACAAUUGGCUGCGCUGCAGUUCCAAAUUUGAUAAAGUUACAAGGUUGGUGUACCAGAAAUUCAUUAUCUACCAAUCAUCAAUAUGUAUGCACAAAACAGUUGCCUGUCUGGGCCUUUGUAUCAACGUCCAUCCAUGUGUAACACGUUCAGCGGAACCGUCUACCAAACGUCUGACAGACACAGACACGUGCAUAUCCUCCAAACCGGGCAGGCUGGUUGCUUGCGCCCUCGUCGCUUUCUUGUCGAACUGGCUCCAUAUAUAGACUAAUGCACACCACAGUUCAAUUUCCAUUUUCGUUUCAGUCAUCGUACAUAUGACUGCAUUAUUCAGCUAACGUUUAAGCAUAGGGAUUUUUAUUUUCAUGUCCCGUCUUUCUUAGUUAUGAUUAGUUUUGCCCCGUUCAUUUAACAUUGCUCACUUUUUUCCCUUCUUUACUCAUCUACGCCUCGUAAAAGAUCAAACGGUGUGUUGACAUUGGGUUAGACCAGGGGCGGUCCUCAGAUUUUGGGGGCCCGGGGCUGGAUUAAAAGCCGGGGCCCUUAAUAUAGACAUAAUAACAAUAACACUGAAUAUACGUACCGGUGAAAUAUAAACACUUAAAUACGUCUAAUACUAAUAUGCAUAUCAAAUGUUUUAAAAAUAUUACCUCAAACAAUAAUUCUGACAUACCUUGAUGCAAAGGCCAUUAUGAUGGCGUCGAUGUUAAUAGCGUCCAAUAAUUUCUUCUCGAUGACAUAAUGUCACCAGACCAUAUAAACACUCUUGGUUCAUCGGUGACCUCACAUAGUUCUUCAAUCAAUAUUUCCAACUUCAGAGAGCUUCUUCCGACCAAUACGAUAGUCACAGGCAUAGUAAAUAGGAUGCAAUAAGCAAUGGAAAUAUCAGGAUAACAGCCAACUUCUAUUGACAUGCUGCAAAUCUCCAUUGCAGAUAUUACAGUCAUAUGGCAGAAUGAAUCCCACAAUUUUUAAUUUAGAAGUAAGAUCAUACUCCCUCCGUUCCUAAAUAUAAGACCUUUUAAAGAUUGCACUAUAAACUAUAUAGGAUGUACAUAGACAUAUUUUAGAAUAUAGAUUCACUCAUUUUGCUCCGUAUGUAGUCUCCUAGUUGAAUCCCUAAAAGGUCUUAUAUUUUAAAACGGAGGGAGUAUAUCUCAACAUCAUGAUACACAAUGCUGACAAAUAACAUUAAUUGUUGAACAAUAUCGAUGUACCGGCGAUGCAUCUACAGAAGCACAAUAAGAAUAUAUGAUAUACGUACCUCGGAUGGCUGAAUCAGCCAUGACGGAAAAUCAAAGCCGGAUUAUAGGACGCCCCGACGAAUUGAAAUCGACGGCGCGCAGCUGAUGAUCUAAAUUAGGAAAGAAAUUAGGUUUGGGAGAAAAGUAGAAAGGAGGGUCGAGCACGCAGUGGCGAACAGACGAUGCGUCGGCGGCCGCUAGGAAUCGCUGCGUCAAUGCGAGAUGGAAUAGGAAGGGAUCAAUCACUCCUAUUUUUUCGUGAAAAAACGGAAGGAACGGUUGCUGCCUUUGUGCCUCGCUGGACUGCUGGGUGCAUGUUUGCCUGCAUGCUACGUGAGGCCCAGUCAACCAACCCGAUAGGUCAUUUUUUUCUGAUCUGUAAAAACAUUAAAUAUGUUUGGACAAAGCCUAUGUACAUACGUGGGGAGGGCCCCCUAAACUUUGGGGGCCGGGGCGGCCGCCCCCCCCUGCCCCUCCCCUCGGCCGGCCCUGCGGUUAGACUACCAACAAUGAAAGUAACAUAGGUGGUAACAUAGAUAUCAUCUAAACAACAAAUGUGAUGUGGCAACUAAUUAAAGAAAAGUAAGAGAAAUUGAAUAACUUAGCAUGUUACUCAUAUUAGGAGUAACAUAGCGGAUACCAAGGCAAGAUGGGUGUAUAGGCUAAUAAAUAAAAGACUCAAUGUUACUACCCCUAUGUUACUAUCCACUAUGGAGGUAGUAACUUAGAUUAGUAACAUAUGUAUGUUACUCCCCAUUGGUCUUUCAGCGGCGUUCAGAGACUCCUUCAUAUUAUUAGACAUAAUUAUGUCUAGAGACACAACACACGAGGCUAUACGUAAAUCACCCUUAGAAUACCAGCGAGCUCUCGUUUAACCUACGGACCCGAUGGGCCAUGUUAAGACUGGUAUGAAUACCAGCAAGCUCGCUGACAAGGAUCCGACGACUCCAUUACCCCUCGCAUCGCUUAGAGAAAAAACCCGAUACAAGUCACCCCCUUGACUUGAUCUGGAAUUAUCUGCGAGAUGCCAUCUAUGCUCUCAUCUAUCAACAAUUUCAACACAUGUUCUGCCGGAGUUUUGGUGCUUGGAAACCAUGAGCAAACCGCUUGUCACUUCUCCCGUGAGAGAGCGUCACCGGCACAGAACACCUCCAAUGGUUUCGUGAUUGCCGAUGGCGGCUGCAGGAUUGGGGGAGGUAGGCUGCUCGGGCUGCGGGGGAUGCGAAUUGAGAGAGAGAGAGAGAGAGAGAGGGAGGGAGAGGGAGAGGAAGAGAGAGAGAGAGAGAUUUCGUCCCCCUUUUUAGGACAAAUGACCCAACCAUCCACUAGCCGGUCCCACAUGUCAGCAUUUCAUGUCAGUCCCAUGCGUCCACGCGUCAACACCGGACGAAGUAACGGUCAACAGUUUUGACCCGACGGUGAGGCAUUGUUUGGCCUUUUGCGAGACGGAGGCGAGUAGAGGAGGGAGAAAAGUGAGUAAUGUUAGACGGACGAGGCAAACUGAGCACAACUAAGUAACGAUGGACGAGGCAACUUACGUAAAACCAGCUACAAUUAUAAUAGCUUUCGAUGUACACCCGUGUGAUCACCAGCCAUCUAACAACCUUUGCCGACAGUUGUCCUUCAUCCACAAAGACAACAUCAUCCAAAUAAUUCACUUGCAAUCCAGGUUUCUCUAUCAUCUCUUUGGACAUUGUGAUAUUUACUAAUUCCCGAUCCAGAGGUCUCAUACGCCAUGGCGAUGUCAUGACCAGUCUAGGAGAAGAAGCACCUCGUAAACUAGAGCGGAACAGAACCUGGGUUUUCUAGGCAUGGCCUCUCGAUAAGAAGUUGAGAAGAUUAUGGCUGAUACAUGGUGAGAUAGGAUGAGGUGUCUACGCUGCCAUACGACAAAACCCUAGUAACAGGGGAUGCUUUAUCUGUGUUAUUUUUUAAUUAAAUCACAUGAAUAAUUGGCCGUGUGUAUGUAAUUCUAUAUUAAUAUAAUAGGACACAAAGAGGCAGGUCCAUAUCAUCUCGGCCAACAAAUCUAAGAUUUGAUGGUUCAUGUUGAGCACCAAGAGACGAAAACCGCUCGCGUCGCCUCCAGGGGGCGACACGGGCGCCCUAGCCGCCGUCGCCCUCGACCUCCCUCCUCCCCCGCUUCCCCGCCGUUGCCGGAGGAGGCCGGCGAGCGAAGCUCGCCCGGCGGACGACGGACGGCGGGCCUUCCUCCCUUCUUCACGAGGGGGUCCUUUGGCUGAGAUGCGACGGCGCCCCUGGGGGUACAACAUGGAGGCGGAGUUGGCGUGCUCGGGCGGCGUGGGAUCCCGGCGGCGCUGCGGGGGCUGGCGGCGGCGGAUCUGGGGUUCCCCACCCCAGAUCGGUUCUCCUCCGGGUGGUCGGGCUCAGGCGCCGUCCAGCGGCCCUAAGCGGUGGUGGACGCGCGCGUUGACUGUCCUCCUUCACAGAUGUGAUUGGAAACGACAGGAGGUGUUGGCGUGCUGCUAGAUCUGAACAAGGUGAUGGCGUCAUCCCCUUCAUCAGGGAUGACGACCAGGUGGUGGGUUCUUGUGGCGUCGCCGGUGGCGGCGGAUCUUGGGAUCCAGUUCCCGGGGACGUCGUGGGAUGUGGUGGCCCGUGCAGGAGAGAUGGGUUCUUCGAACAGAUCUGGGUCAAAGCUUGCUUUCGGCUAUUGCUAAGGUCGGCGAUGGCGGCGCUGUCUACAUCGUUCCCUUCCUGAAGGCAUCGCCGAGGAGAACUUCAGGGCCACUCUCUGCUACCUCCUGGGGUAACCCUAGAUCAGUAGAUCGGAUGACGGCGACGCUCUGGUGUCAUUUCCCCCUUGGGGGCGUCAUUCAUGGUGGUACACACGGGCUCGAGGGACCAUUGGUCGGCAUUUACGAUGGAGCAGCGUUCCUAGUGACACAUCGACGUUGUGGAGUCUCGGCGGCGAGGCGCGGCAAAGUCUCGGCAAUGAAUGCAUGAUGAUGAGCACGCGUAGGGAGGAGGCGUUGUCUGGCGCCGUGGGGGCAUCGAUGGCAGGCCUUGCAAGGUCGAUGCGUCAGUAAUUUUUCUGAAGAUGGAUUGAUGGAAGGCGGCGACGACGACCUAUGAGGGUGCGUCGGACCGUUUGUGCCCCUGACCCGGUAUGUGGCUCUGUCGGGGCCUCCGGCUUUAGAUGUUAGGCUAGGUGAGAGGUCUGGGUAUGUGGCUCACACUUUCUGCACCCCCUUCAUCAUUGUAUAUGAGUAGCGACAGAUGUUGCCAAGAGGACGGCUUCAGACAUACGCUUAACACUCUAGCUAAUUGACCACCAGUAGCACGGGAGAGGUGUUUUGGCUCCCGGGUAUAUGCACUCGGAUGAACAGUACUGCGAAAAAAGUUCUAAUUUUUUUUGUAGAUGAUUGUAUUAGUGUCGCAAAUAUGCAUGACAAUUUUCGUGCGAUAAGGAGCAACGGUGUUUCAUCAGCAAAAAAGACAAAUUUAGGAUGACAUUUUGGGGUAACUUUUGGUGUUCAAUUUGUUUUUCUUGCACAAACCAAAAUGUUUUAUCUUUUUGUCUCAAAAUUUACAAGUAGUAUUUGGAUGUGACAAAGCAUACAAACAAAUUUUGUCUCAUUUUUUUCCAUUUCAAACUUUUUUUUGGCCCCGAAAGCAUAUGCCGGGAGCCGAAUUGCAUUUCCGCCGGUAGCACUAGUUACAUACACACUAGACUCCGCGCAAUCCCAUGAAAUCUGUUUGGCGAUUAACAUACGGCUAAAUAUCAACAUGCAAAUAUUAUCUUACCAAAUGUACCAAAUGUGUAACUAGUAUCUUAAUUCUACUCCCUUCAUAAACUAAUAUAAAAACAUUUAAAAACAAUGCUUUAGUAAUCUAAACGCUUUUAUUUAAUUUACAAAAGGAGUGCUACCUAAUAUCAACAUGCAUUGCACCAACUCCCUUCAAGGUCUAAUGCGUUUUUAGGGUUGCCCUUGACUAUUGAUAAGAUUAAUAAUAUAUGAGAUCUAUGAUAAAGAGUCUUUUCACAUCCGAAUUUGACAAUAUACCUGUAACAUGCAAGUUAUAUAUAUAUAAUUGCUCUAACCCGUGGCCAAAGGAAAUCUUGCAAAAUGUAUCGGAUGAAGGGAGAACAUGAUAAUACCAGUCUAACAAAUAUAUCCUCUCCAAUCGCAAACAUUUAUCCCCUUGGAUCACAACCAUGCAUACCCCUUUUGAGUACUCCCUCCGUCCCAAAAUUAAUGUCGAGCAUGUAGUUCAUUGGGAAUUUUGCAAAAAAAAACCUCGUAUUUACAAAAUCGUCUCAAACAAGCACCUCCACCCCUAUCUUCUUCGUCCGUCCUCGCCCGUGCAUCGCGAGAGGCCGCGCCGUCGAACUGGAAGGGCUCCGCCGCCGUCGCCGCCAAUUACCUCCUCCAUCACCACAACCCAGAUCUGCGCCACCGGAUCUCUUCCCGCUGCAGUUACCUGUCGGCGUCGUUCUCGAGCUCCUGCCGGCGUCGGAACCUUCCGCCACUUCGUCCUCUGGCUCCCAUGCGUCAUCCUCGAGCUCCCGUGCAUCCUCCCCAAGCUCACGCGCAUCCUCGCUGGAAUCUCUACUGCUCCUUCUCCCUUGCAGCCGGUGUGCCUGCUUAUCCCCUGUCACCGGAGGAGCUCCUCUGCACGUACUUGUUGGAAUUAUGCCCUANNNNNNNNNNNNNNNNNNNNNNNNNNNNNNNNNNNNNNNNNNNNNNNNNNNNNNNNNNNNNNNNNNNNNNNNNNNNNNNNNNNNNNNNNNNNNNNNNNNNNNNNNNNNNNNNNNNNNNNNNNNNNNNNNNNNNNNNNNNNNNNNNNNNNNNNNNNNNNNNNNNNNNNNNNNNNNNNNNNNNNNNNNNNNNNNNNNNNNNNNNNNNNNNNNNNNNNNNNNNNNNNNNNNNNNNNNNNNNNNNNNNNNNNNNNNNNNNNNNNNNNNNNNNNNNNNNNNNNNNNNNNNNNNNNNNNNNNNNNNNNNNNNNNNNNNNNNNNNNNNNNNNNNNNNNNNNNNNNNNNNNNNNNNNNNNNNNNNNNNNNNNNNNNNNNNNNNNNNNNNNNNNNNNNNNNNNNNNNNNNNNNNNNNNNNNNNNNNNNNNNNNNNNNNNNNNNNNNNNNNNNNNNNNNNNNNNNNNNNNNNNNNNNNNNNNNNNNNNNNNNNNNNNNNNNNNNNNNNNNNNNNNNNNNNNNNNNNNNNNNNNNNNNNNNNNNNNNNNNNNNNNNNNNNNNNNNNNNNNNNNNNNNNNNNNNNNNNNNNNNNNNNNNNNNNNNNNNNNNNNNNNNNNNNNNNNNNNNNNNNNNNNNNNNNNNNNNNNNNNNNNNNNNNNNNNNNNNNNNNNNNNNNNNNNNNNNNNNNNNNNNNNNNNNNNNNNNNNNNNNNNNNNNNNNNNNNNNNNNNNNNNNNNNNNNNNNNNNNNNNNNNNNNNNNNNNNNNNNNNNNNNNNNNNNNNNNNNNNNNNNNNNNNNNNNNNNNNNNNNNNNNNNNNNNNNNNNNNNNNNNNNNNNNNNNNNNNNNNNNNNNNNNNNNNNNNNNNNNNNNNNNNNNNNNNNNNNNNNNNNNNNNNNNNNNNNNNNNNNNNNNNNNNNNNNNNNNNNNNNNNNNNNNNNNNNNNNNNNNNNNNNNNNNNNNNNNNNNNNNNNNNNNNNNNNNNNNNNNNNNNNNNNNNNNNNNNNNNNNNNNNNNNNNNNNNNNNNNNNNNNNNNNNNNNNNNNNNNNNNNNNNNNNNNNNNNNNNNNNNNNNNNNNNNNNNNNNNNNNNNNNNNNNNNNNNNNNNNNNNNNNNNNNNNNNNNNNNNNNNNNNNNNNNNNNNNNNNNNNNNNNNNNNNNNNNNNNNNNNNNNNNNNNNNNNNNNNNNNNNNNNNNNNNNNNNNNNNNNNNNNNNNNNNNNNNNNNNNNNNNNNNNNNNNNNNNNNNUGUUGGAAUUAUGCCCUAGAGGCAAUAAUAAAUGUGGUUAUUAUUAUAAUUCCUGUAUCAAGAUAAUAGUUUAUUAUCCAUGCUAUAAUUGUAUUGAAUGAAGACUCAUUUACAUGUGUGGAUACAUAGACAAAACACCGUCCCUAGCAUGCCUCUAGUUGGCUAGCCAGUUGGUCAAUGAUAGUCAGUGUCUUCUGAUUAUGAACAAGGUGUUGUUGCUUGAUAACUGGAUCACGUCAUUGGGAGAAUCACGUGAUGGACUAGACCCAAACUAAUAGACGUAGCAUGUUGAUCGUGUCAUUUUGUUGCUACUAUUUUCUGCGUGUCAAGUAUUUAUUCCUAUGACCAUGAGAUCAUAUAACUCACUGACACCGGAGGAAUGCUUUGUGUGUAUCAAACGUCGCAACGUAACUGGGUGACUAUAAAGAUGCUCUACAGGUAUCUCCGAAGGUGUUAGUUGAGUUAGUAUGGAUCAAGACUGGGAUUUGUCACUCCGUGUGACGGAGAGGUAUCUCGGGGCCCACUCGGUAAUACAACAUCACACACAAGCCUUGCAAGCAAUGUAACUUAGUGUAAGUUGCGGGAUCUUGUAUUACGGAACGAGUAAAGAGACUUGCCGGUAAACGAGAUUGAAAUAGGUAUGCGGAUGCUGACGAUCGAAUCUCGGGCAAGUAACAUACCGAAGGACAAAGGGAAUGACAUACGGGAUUAUACGAAUCCUUGGCACUGAGGUUCAAACGAUAAGAUCUUCGUAGAAUAUGUAGGAUCCAAUAUGGGCAUCCAGGUCCCGCUAUUGGAUAUUGACCGAGGAGUCUCUCACGUCAUGUCUACAUAGUUCUCGAACCCGCAGGGUCUGCACACUUAAGGUUCGACGUUGUUUUAUGCAUAUUUGAGUUAUAUGGUUGGUUACCGAAUGUUGUUCGGAGUCUCGGAUGAGAUCACGGACGUCACGAGGGUUUCCGGAAUGGUCCGGAAACGAAGAUUGAUAUAUAGGAUGACCUCAUUUGAUUACCGGAAGGUUUUCGGAGUUACUGGGAAUGUACCGGGAAUGACGAAUGGGUUCCGGGAGUUCACCGGGGGGGGCAACCCACCCCGGGGAAGCCCAUAGGCGUUGGGGGAGGCACACCAGCCCUUAGUGGGCUGGUGGGACAGCCCACAAGUGCUCUAUGCGCCAAGAGAAGAAAAAUCAAGAGGAAAAGGGAAAAAAAAGGAGGAGGUGGGAAAGGAGGAGGACUCCCUCCCACCAAACCUAGUCCAACUCGGUUUGGGGGGGGGAGAGUCCUCCCCCUUGGCUCGGCCGACCCCCUUGAGGGUCCUUGGACCCCAAGGCAAGGCCCCCUCCCUCCCACCUAUAUAUACGGAGGUUUUAGGGCUGAUUUGAGACGACUUUUCCACGGCAGCCCGACCACAUACCUCCACGGUUUUUCCUCUAGAUCGCGUUUCUGCGGAGCUCGGGCGGAGCCCUACUGAGACAAGGUCAUCAUCAACCUCCGGAGCACCGUCACGCUGCCGGAGAACUCUUCUACCUCUCUGUCUCUCUUGCUGGAUCAAGAAGGCCGAGAUCAUCGUCGAGAUGUACGUGUGCUGAACGCGGAGGUGCCGUCCGUUCGGUACUAGAUCGUGGGACUGAUCGCGGGAUUGUUCGCGGGGCGGAUAGAGGGACGUGAGGACGUUCCAAUACAUCAACCGCGUUCUCUAACGCUUCUGUUGUACGGUCUACAAGGGUACGUAGAUCACUCAUCCCCUCUCGUAGAUGGACAUCACCAUGAUAGGUCUUCGUGCGCGUAGGAAAAUUUUUGUUUCCCAUGCGACGUUCCCCAUCAGUACUGCUGCUGGUCAUCUGCCUGAGUUGUUGCUGCUCCUCUGCUGGAGUUGAUGCUCCUCUGCUCGAUCUACUCUGCCGCUGGUGAAGCUCUGCCCGUGGUACUGCUAUUCCUCUGCCCAUUUGCACCUGAAGAAGGUACUGAUGAAACUGUUUGUUGUUUACUGCUACCUAAAACUGCUGUUGUUUGAGAAACUGCAUUGCUUGAGAAACUUGUAAUGUUGUGGUAUCGAAAAUAAUUUUGUGCAAUACUUGUAAUGUUGUGGUAUCAAAAAUAAUUUUGUGGAGUAUCAGAAACAGAGAAGCCUGGUUCAAGGUUUUGCACUGGAAACAGAGCAGUCUGGUUCAAGGUUGUGCACUGGAAACAGAGCAAUCUGGUUCAAGGUUUUGCCUAGAUAAACCAGACCGGAUGAGAGACCAAAUACAUGGGCAAGUAGUCAAAAGAAACACAUAAUUUGCCUAGAAUCUUGUUGUCCUGUGAUGCAAGAAAAUUUCACCAUGUGUAUGUUGUGGAACGCUUACAGUUGCACAAAUCAGACAUAUCAGUAGGUUGGUUCAGGUGUUGGUUCUUGGCCUAUUAACAUAGAAAGCCCCUUUGUAACUACUAGGACAAUCAGCUUGUGUAAAGAUCAUAUUUAGAGACGAAUUGCAAGCAUUAACCUGAUCUUAACAUAUAUAAAUGGAUAUUAAGUUUUCCAUUUUAGGCGAAUACAGAUAGAGGUUUCAACUAGACCUAGUGAGAAAUGGUUCCAUGGUAGCAUUUCUUGUUUGGCUGUCGUAGCUCGAUUACAUAUUGUUUUUACGUGCGUAUAUAUUCUUGUUACAGUACCAUGGUGUACUCAUCUUUUGUCAUUGAUAGCAGGAGUAUGGAUUUGAACAUGAUACCUCAAGAGGAGGAUGAAGGUAUUAAUUUGAAUUGGAUCCCUCAAGAGGAAGAGGCUCAAGGGGGAGAGGAUGGAGGUAUGGAUUUGAACAUGAUGCCUCAAGAGGAAAAGGAUGAUGGUAUUAAUUUGAAUUGGAUCCCUCAAGACGAAGAGGAUCCAGGGGGAGAGGAUGGAGGUAUGGAUUUGAACAUGAUGCCUCAAGAGGAAGAGGAUGAAGGUAUUAAUUUGAAUUGGAUCCCUCAAGAGGAAGAGGCUCAAGAGGAAGAGGAUGAAGUUAUGAAUUGGAUACUUCAAGAAGAAGAAGAAGGUCAAGAAGGUGUACCAGGUAAACAGAAAAGAAAAGAAUUGUCAAAUAAGGAGAGGCAUGCUGUUUACUUUGCUCUGCUAGUAAUCGAGCUCAGAGAUGGAUCUGUUCAACCAAACGACAAGCUGCUAGUAUCAAUCUUGUUGAACAUACAUGUACGAUCUAUUGAGAGAAUCUGGUCGGAGCCAAAAAGCAGAUUGCCGCGGGCCAAGAAGUAGAUGUCUCCAACAAGAAGAAAGGAAGAGUUGGUCGAAAGAGAAAAGAGCUGGAUCUUGCAAGGACCUCAACAAUCCCAUUGAAUAGAAGAAGGACAAUUCGAUCUCUGGCACGGUCUCUCGGUGUGACCCGCUCAACCCUACAUCGGAGGUUCCAGUUAAAUGAGCUCAACCGCAUCACAAACACAGUCAAGACUUACCUCAAACCAGAGAACAAGAUUGCAAGAUUGAAGUUUUGUAUGUCCAUGCUCGAUGACAAUUGGAUCUCAACUUCCCAAGCUAUAUUCAAGCCAAUGACUAAUAUGGUCCAUAUAGAUGAAAAGUGGUUUGACAUGACAAGACUAAAGAACAACUACUAUGUACUUCCAGGAGAGCCUCCACCUGAGCGCACCGUGACAAACAUUAACAUCAUUGGGAAGGUAAUGUUUCUAACGGUUGUGGCCAGAUCUCGAUACAAUUAUGAUGGAGAGCUAACAUUUGACGGGAAGAUUGGUAUUUGGGCAUUCAUCAAAGAGUCUGAGGCAGUGCGAACGAGUCACAAUAGAGCAAGGGGAACGACAGUGCUGAAACCAGUGAAAGUAACGAGACCUGUGUGUAGAGAAUAUCUGAUCAAUAAGGUUAUACCAGCAAUUCAAGAUAAAUGGCCUGACGAUGAUGAGGGAGCAACAAUAUUCAUCCAACAAGAUAAUGCAAAGCCUCGCGUUCUUCCCAACGAUGAAGCUUUUCGAGAAGCUGUGGAAGAAACUGAUCUCGACAUUAAGUUGAUGCAACAACCUCCAAACAGCCCAGAUUUGAACUGUUUGGACCUCUGCUUCCACAAUUCUCUCCAGUCUCUAACCGAUUGUAGGUCACCUACAAACAUCCAGGAACUGAUACAGGGUGUGGAAGAGGAGUUUGAGAAUUAUGAUCCUCACAAGUUGUACAACAGCUUCAUCACAUUGCAAGCAGUUAUGUUUGAAAUUAUGAAAGAUCAAGGAGGAAACCAAUAUAAGUUGCCCCACUUACACAAGGAACGUCUUCAGAAUGACGGCAGAGAAAUAACAAGUGUAUAUUGUGACAGUCAGCUAGUUGCUGAUACUAGGGCCAUUCUAGAAGAAAUGCAAUAGGAAAAGGAAAGGAAGAAAAGAAGUAGUUGUAGAAAGGAAAAAAAGAAUUGAACUUAUCUGAAUUGUACUCCUUGUGUACUCCUUGUACUCCUUGUGUAUGUCUUGUGCAAUAGGAAAAUGCAAUUGGAAUCAUUUGAGAUCAAUGAUGAUACUGGUUAUCCAACAUUUCCAUCUUGUGUAUCGGAAUUCAUUUUAAUUGUUUGGACUAAUUUGUUUGAGUUUAUCUUGAGUUUAUCCAGCAUUUCCAUCUGUAUUGGAGAUCAAUGAUCUUGUGUAUUGGAAGGGUCAUGUACAUGGGGAUGUUGCCUCAAGUUUUAUUAAAUUUAUUGUUUCAGGUUUCAGUAUACAAAGAUUACUGGGGUAUUGUCUAUAGUUUGGAUAAACCAAAUAAAGUUCACAAAUCUUUAUUCCCUUUGUGCAUAAAGUUUACAAAUCCCAAGCAUAGAGUUGGGAUCAACAAAAAAAUUCUAAGCUUACAAAUCGUGAGUGCUUUCAUCUCAAAAAAAUUCUAAGCUUACAAAUCCAGAACUGGUAGCCUUCCUUAUCUCAAUUCUCUGGUACUGAUUUUUGCUCUCUUUUUUUACCUUCCUUCAACAAGUUGUUCCUUGAACUGCAGGUACUCAGGGACAGUCAACUCCUCGUCGUCUGAAUUCUCAAGUACAGUAGUACUAGUAGCUUGGUUCAGGUUGAUUCUCAAUGAUGCCCUGCACUUGACACUAAAGCCUCCAGCCUGCAGAUAUACAAACGAAAUACAGAUACAUGCAUCAGUCUGAACCUGAAGAAGAAGGAAUGCAACCUGUGAAAUGUGUGAAAUGCUCCUACCAACAGACAAUGGAUGGUUUUUUUGUUUUGAUUGGUCUUGCUCUCGGUUUGAAGAUGAAGUGGUGUUAUUUCGCUUACCGUUGAUGUUCAAGUGUAGGCUUUUGCCUGCCCAGCACCUCUUAACCAUGUCAUCUCCUUGCAGUGCGUCUGGUUCAGGCCGAGCUCCGGGAAGCGGCUGCGCAUCAGCGGCAGCAGCGUGUCCGACGUCCCCAGGUACAUGGACUGGAAGUUGGCCUCCUGUUUCUACACGAGCACCCUGAUGAAGAGGUCUUCGGGGAGAGCUGGGGCGACUUGUUGCCAUCUGGUGAGGACGUCCACGGCGCCCUGGUCGACGGACUUCGUGACGCUGAACAUUGUCACUGUCGGGGGACGGGAACGUGCUUCACCUGCCACGAGAGCACGACGCCGAAGCUCUCGCCGACGCCGUUUCCGACGCAGCCGGAGAAGACGGCGGCGGUAGGUGGAGAAAUCAUUGCUUUUUAUGAGGAAGGGGGAAGCUUGGGGAGGCAGGCGAGUCGCAACUGCGGCGGCGGAGCGGCGGGGGACCGGGGGAGCAGGGGAGUUGCGGCAGGCGGAGCUGCAGCGGGCGAGCGGCAGCUGCGGCGGGGGAGUAGGGCAGCUGCGGCGGCGAGGAGCAGGCAAGCUGUAGCGAGCGUAGAUGGGGCAUCUGUCGGAGGAGGAGGACGAGGAGCGCGGGUUUGGUCGGGAGAAGCUGUAGGGGCUUUUCGCAAAAUUACCGUCGCGACAUUAAUUUCGGGACGGAGGGAGUAGCAUCUAAUCCUUCCAAAUAACACAGAACAUACGUGUUGCACGACCCAAAUGGGGCCCGGUCAAUGACAUCAAUCCCAUAUGUCACUCUCUGCUCCUACUACCUCGCUGUCCAUUACUUCAUGGUAAAUCUGGGGACGAGGAGGACAUGGUCGUCUGUCUGGCUCUUCACCUCCCUCGGGAGCAGUGCACUCGACCACGGUUGGACUCUAACCGGUGGAAAUCCAUGGUGUCCGUUCAAAUGUCGUUUGGAUGCGCAGGGAUGAUUGCUCGAGGCGUGCGGGCGCGGCCUCGACGGACACAGUGAUCGCCGUCCAAUUCUAGUAUGAUGAUGCAACCCCUUUGGUGGUGCCUCAUCCCUACGCCCUCGGGCUCGGAGUCGAAGAUCUGCACCGGCAUGAGUUACGGUCCAUCUUCUAACAUGGAGUGGCAUACCCGUCGUGCAAGGCAAAGGCCGCGUGGCGAGACGUAGAUGCUCUAACCACAUCUAGAUGGGAUCACAUCGAUUUAUGAUAUCCCGACUUCCCGAUCAACGAGUCUCCUCUGAUCAAAACCAUGUUACCCUAAUAUGCAUGUAAAAAAGUUAGGCUAAUAUGCGCGUAAAAAAGUUGAUUAACUGCUGCUAAAAUGGUGUGAUGUGAUAAGCCGGCCCUCCCCAACAAGAAAUAAUAACAACUGCCCCCCUAUCUCUCAUAUCCAAUUUAUAUAUGAGCCGGAUAUAGCGAGGACUGGAUGCGUCCGUCAGGUUGUAUCCGGCUCACGCUGGUUCAUCCCGACCCAUAUAUAUCCGUCUCUAUCUCCAACCUGGACGAAACCCUAGCUACUCCACCCCUCUUCUUAGCUCCGUUCCGAUGAUCUCCAGCCAUCUCCGACAUUACAGGCAGCGUCCGACACGGAGUUGGGAUCUCGCCCCAUGCGGGGAUGAGGAGGACAUGGCCGUCCGGCCGGCACUUCGCCGCCCCCGGAAGGAGUGCGCUCGACCACGGUUGGACUCUAUCCGGCAAAAACCCAUGGUGUCCGUUCAAAUCUCGCUUGGAUCCGCAGGGAUGAUGGCUCGAGGCGUCCGGGCGCGGCCUUGCCGGACGCGGUGACCACCAUAAUAUUCUAACUCCGGGAUGGCGAUGCAACCCCUCCGGUUGCGCAUCAUCCCUAACAUGGAGCGGCGUACGCCGUCGUGCGAGGCAUAGGACGCGGGGGCGAGGUGUAGAUGCUCUAACCGCAUCUGGAUGAGAUCACAUCGAUUGAUGAUGUCCGGAUAAACGAGUCUCCUCAGAUCAAAACCGUGUAAUAAUCCUACAAAAUAAAGACAUCGCCCAACGUGUUCCAGAACGCUCUGAAUGAGACCCCGCGAAUGGCAACAACCAUACCAUUUAUGAGCAAGUUUUGUCAGUCCCCCCACCCGGCCAGCCCGUGACAUCGAUGUAGCAGCUUCCGUUCCUAUUUAACCAGCGUACCAUUUGCACUACAUUGCAUCACAGCAAGCACACACACACACACACUCUCUAGAGAAAUGGCGAUGGCUAGGACGACGGCGCUCCUCCUCGUCGCCGCGGCUCUCCUGGCGGCCUCAUCCAGCGCAUGGGAGGUGAACAUCCAGAUGCCGGCGUCGGCGGCCGUGGACGAUGCUGUGGCACCGCUCAUCCACGCGCUGCGGCCGCUCCUGGGCUCCGGCAAGCAAGCCGGCGUGGCGUGCGAUAGCUGGCGGCUGGGCGUGGAGGCGCACAACGUGCGGGACUGGAAGACGGUGCCCGCCAGCUGCGAGGAUUACGUCGGCCACUACAUGGUCGGCGACCACUACCGCCGGGACUCCAAGGUCGUCAUCGACCAGGCCAUCGCCUACGUCGACUCCCUCAAGCUCGCCGGCAACGGCAAGGAGGUCUGGGUCUUCGACGUCGACGAGACCACCCUCUCCAACCUCCCCUACUACGCCAAGCACGGCUUCGGGUACGU
rnacentral:lncRNA from 1 species